rnacentral:lncRNA from 1 species
AUGGCAAUCAUGUUAAGCCAGUGGACAUGGAGACAUCUGAACUUCCAGAUGAGUUGGACGAGGAUGAAGAUGAUGAUGAUGAUGAUGUAGAAGAUGUUGCAAAAGAGGUUGAAGACGAGGAGGCUGAUGAAGAGGGGGAAGUUGAAGUAGAAGUAGAACAAACCGAGAGCCAAGAUGCAGAAAGGAUUGUGAAGGCCAAGGAAGCUGAGGCUAAGAAGCCCCUUCAAAUGAUUGGAGUGCAACUGUUGAAAGACUCUGAUCAAACAACUAGAAUGUCAAAAAAAUCAAGAAGAAGAGCUGCUCGACUAGCUGUGGCGGUACGAGAAUCCGUUAGAUUUGCUGCCUUUUUUAUUUCCUUUCCUUUCCUUACCUUUUUUUCUUUUUUCUUUCAUUUUAUGCAGUUUAUCAAGUUGAUUGUCUUAUAGCUUUUGUAGUUUCGCUUCUUAAAAAAAGUAACUUAGGUUAGCCCUUUCUAUGGGGGAUUGAAACGAAGCACUCCUUUUGUGUCGUAUUAAUGUUUCUUGUCAACAGAAAUCUAUAAACUUGAUCAAAACGUUUUGCUUGAUAGAUUCAAUGUACUGUGUUGUUAAAUGUCAAAUUAAUUUAUGCAUUAAAAAAUAAAUAUUUAUUAUUUCCCAUGUUAGGACGACGACGACGACGACUGGUUUCCUGAAGAUAUACUUGAGGCUUUCAAGGAGAUGAGAAACAGAAAAGUUUUUGAUGUGGAAGACAUGUAUUUAAUAGCUGAUGCUUGGGGUUGGACAUGGGAGAGAGAAAUAAAGAAGAGGCCUCUCCAGAGGUGGUCACAAGAAUGGGAAGUCGAGUUGGCAAUUCAAUUAAUGCUGAAGGCAAGUUCCUAGUAACCUUUUUCCUUUUUUCUAGUUAUCUUUCAGUUAGCCUUAUUUAGUUGUGUUACCGUUCUUCAUUUCCUCCAGUAAAUUGUUCCUUGGUAUACUCAUGUCUGUGUAUUUAGAACGAUGAUGGACAUAAACAAAAAACAAGGUCUUAAGUAGCACAUUAGGGAAAUCUAUCCACAUUUCUAUUAAAUCAUUCAAAUUUCUUUGUUCUUCAGAUCAGUAUUAGUAAGGUUACUAAUGUUUUUGGUCGUCUUUGUUGAUUUUUAUUAGUUUUUUACCAUCAUCCCAUGUGGAAUGAAAGCACUGAAUAAUGUUUCAGGUCAUAGAAUUGGGUGGAACACCCACUAUUGGAGAUUGUGCCAUGAUAUUGCGGGCGGCUAUUAGGGCUCCAAUGCCUUCAGCUUUUUUGAAGAUCUUGCAGACAACGCACAGCCUAGGCUAUCAAUUCGGGAGGUAAGAUCCGUGCAUCGGUACAAGAAAAUGAAGAUGAAUUGGUCUUUUUUCCGAGCUAAAAACUUAUAUAUCAAUGAAGUGUUCUGAUAUUCAUUUUAGCUACAAACAUGAAUGUCCUUCCAGCAAUUCCUGUUUGAAAUCUAAUCAUAUUCUUAUCAAUUUGCAGUAGUCUAUACGACGAAAUAAUCUCCUUGUGUGUUGACCUUGGGGAACUGGAUGCAGCGAUCGCAAUAGUUGCAGAUUUGGAGACUGCUGGAAUUGCAGUCCCAGACCAGACCCUCGACCGAGUCAUUUCUGCUAAACAAGCGCCUGAGAGUGCUGCGGAGGAGACAAUAUCGUAGCUGCAACCUUUUACUCCCUUCUUUUUUUGCUGUAUAGUCUGCUUGCCAAAUUAAAUGCAGCACAUCAUUUUUUGGUGCUGCGAGGUUUAUGGCGUUGAUUUUGACAGCGGAGCACAAAAGUGUAAAAUUAACACAUAAACUAGGAGUAUAAAUUAUUAUUGCAUUGAAGGCAAAUAAUACUAGAAAAUCUUUUUGUUCAUUCUAAUGUCUUGCGAACGUAUGUAUGUACAUAUGAGCAUGAACAACUUUGAAAAUAGAGGUGGCUUUUGUGGCUCGUUUUGGCCUUGCAACCUUGGCUUGCAAUGAAGUGGGGGGCCAAUAACAUUUCCUAAUAAUAACACUAUUAGACAACGUGCGCUCAACUAGUGCCGGUGUGCAUCAGAUUUGCUUAAUGAAGACGUUAUGAAAUCCAUGCUUGGCACAGAAGCAAGUGAAAUCCAUAAGAGGAGUUGUUUUGUCUUAAAGCAAGCUAGGGAUGAGAAAAAAAUCAACAAACAGAGGAAAAAAAAACCAAGUAGAAUAUUUAAAAAAAUAUUUGGUUCGGUUUAGUUUUGGUUUCAUAAGCUUGAAACCAAAAAUCCUCAACUAAACCGAAUCAAUUUAGUUAAAACUAAACCAAACCAAACUGAAAAAUCAAACUGAACUGAACCAAAAUCAAGCUCAUUAGAAAGUCUAAAAAAAAUCCCAAAAAACAAUAUAGUUUUUGGUUUUUAAUAUAAAAUAACCGAACCGAAACCGGUUUCGGUUCGGUUUUUUGUAUUUUACAAAAUUUCAGUUUGGUUAUUUUUAUAGAUAAAAAGCGGACCGAACUGAAAAUGAUCACCCCUACUUAAAGCAUACAAAAGGUGAAACGAAAAAAAUAAUCAUGGUGCUCUCUUUGGCUAAGUACCAGUUUGAAUGAGUUUUACCGGGUCAACGGUUUUGCUAGUUAAAUUAGCAAUACGUCAAGGCUUUGAGUUUUGGAUUUUUUGAGUCAACUUGUUAGCAUAGUUAUUAAAUUUAAUUCAGGGAUCAAUUUGGAAAAAGACCCGAAUUAUAGGACGGGAGGGUUAACCUAAUUUUUUUAAAAAAGUUCAAAACAAUGUCAUUUAAAAAAAAAAAUCAAAAGUCAAUGGGAUUUUAAUCGAGUUUUACUAGGUUUUACUUGGAUCAACAUUAAUUCAAAAUCUAAGUUGAUCCGUGGAGUAUGGUUCGGGUUCAAUAACAUUCCUUACUGAAACAGGUGAAGUUUUACAAUAUGAUACUAACCAACCUUUGAAUUCAAUCCAUGUUAACUUUGGAUCAUAAUAAUAAUGGAAGUUAAUUAUAAAUUAGUUGCGGUGGUGUACAAGGACUAAUUAAUUAGUCCAUGUAGUAUCAGAAAUAAUUAAAUAAUUUUUUAGUAAUGUUUGGUAAAUUUUUAUUCCGAAAAUAUCUUCCUUCAUAGUAAAAAAUUCCUAUUUUACCUAAUUAUCUUUCAUUUAUUCUAUUUUUCAAGAAAGAAAUAACAUAAUAAAUUGAAAAUAUUCAAAAUUGACCAAAAAAUACUAAAUUAUUAAAAAUAAGGAGUAAUAAAUGUAGUUCAUAUAACAUGAGGAUUAAUUAAUUAUCUUUGUUAAACUAAUAGGUAAAUUUAUCUUUGACACCUAAGUUUGAAGUCAAACAUGUUAGAGCUGGAUUCGCUUCUCUUUUGACUUUUGGGAAAACCUUUUUUAUUUAUUCUUUUUUUAUGUUUUGUCUAAGACACUUUUCAAAGUAUAUUUAUACAAUUUAAAAAAAAAAAAAAAGAUAUUUCAUGGUUUGGAGCUCCAAACUUUAAGAGGAACAUGAAUAUAUGGAGAAAGAAUAGAUGAAGAGAAGAUCUACUUGAUAUUUUAAAGAAAAGAGCUUCAACAUUUAGGUGCAUUAUCUAUAAGUUAUAUGGCCACAACUUGAGGACUUGCCAAAGGGAUAAUGUCGAACAAGUUAGAGGUGCUAGAGGUGGGAGAGGAUCUAGGGGUGAUGGAGGAACUCUAGGACUUGCCAAAGGGAUAAUGUCGAACAAGUCAAAGGUAGAGGUGGGAGAGGAUCUAGGGGUGAUGGAGGUGGUAAAAGUGGUACGAGUACAUCCUCUUCACCUUUUACCCAAGCACAUUUGAAUUAUAUGAUGUGAAUGCUUUUCUUAAUAGUGGUUGAACAAUAUUUGUUUAAUGUGCAUGCUUUUGUUAGAUUAGGCUACCUAAAUUGAACAAUAUUUAUUAGGGGUGAUAUUUUUGGUUCAGUUUGGUUUUUAUUAAAAAAAAGUAACCAAACCGAAUUAAAAAAAAAAAAACUGAAACUGGUUCAAACCGACCGGUUUCAGUUCGGUUCGGUUUUUUAGGACAAAAACUGGUUCAAACCGGUUUGGCUCGAUUUUUUCAGUUUGACUUGGUUUUUUCCGGUUUGGCUCGGUUUUUUUCCCGGUUUGACUUGGUUUUUAUUUUAUGCUUAUAAAACUGAAACCGAACCGGUCGGUUUUUUCAAAAUUUUAAUCGGGUUUUUUUCACGGUUCGGUUUUUUCGGUUAUUUUUUUUCUGGUUUUUUCGGUUUUUUUGCUCACCCCUAAUAUUUAUUUAUUUCUUACAUUUUCUUUACCAGAGAAUAUAUUUAUUUGAUGUCAUUUAUUUAACAUGAACAAUAUAUUAGUUAGGAUUACAUACAUUAAAUUAGUUAUCAACAACAACUUUAAAUUUGCAAAGUUAGUUUUAAUAUUGUAAUCCAUAAUCCAAUUAAUUUAUUUUUCAGUUUCUUCACUUUAUAUAGCAUUCACUCAACAUCAUUAGCAUCUUUUCCCUUUCCCAUGAUUAUUUCAAUUUUAUUUAUAAAUUUAUCAAUCAAUAUAUAUUGACCCAUGAAAUGUCAUAUCAUAUAUAAAUAGAAUAAUUUAUUUUUAGUAGCUUUUAUUUUCAAUACCGUGACAACUACUCUUUUCUUGCAUGUGAUAUGCCUUUUAUUCUAAAACUUGAGUAGUUCAUCUCAACUACUCCAGCUUUGUAUACCAUUAGCAUUUGAUGCAUAUGAGGGCAUGUUGAUAAAGUGAAAUCCAUGAAAAUUAUGUUGUCGGUAUGUGUUCUUUUUAUGAUAGCAAUGUGCUAUAGAAUAUGCUAUUUUUGUUUCUUGGCAGGGUGUGUUCUUGUUGUGGUGGUAGCGUGGGCUGUUUAGGAAUAUGGUAAAAAUUAAUUUUCAAAGUAUUUUUUGUUCAUAAAUAUAUUAAAAUAAUAUUUUUUUAAUUUUUAAAAAAUUAUUUUUGAUAUUAGCAUAUCAAAAUGAUCUGAAAAUACAAAAAAAUUAAUUUAAAAUAAAAUAAAAAUUCAAUUAAAAAAAUUUACUUUUAAAACACAAAAAUAAAUAGCUUUGUUGGAAUUGUCUGCGUGCUUUUAACAGUGUAGUGGAGGAUAAGUUAUGGCAACAACUAAGGGUGUGUAAAAAAAUCAAAAAAUCGAUUAAACUGAGAAAAUUAGAAAAAAAAUAACCGAAAAAACCGAACCAAACUGAAAAAAACCGGUUUUUGUUCUAAAAUAACCGAACCGAAUCAAAACCAGUCGGUUUGAACAAGUUUCGGUUCGAUUUCGGUUUUUUUUAAAAAAACCGGUUUGGUUACGUUUUUUGAUAAAAACCGAACUAAAAAUAAUCACCCCUAACAACAACGUAGAAGGAAAUAAAUUUUGGUGCUAGUGUGGAAUCCAAUGCAGAGCCAGUUUGGAAACAUGGGCCGCGUUUUUAAAAAUUCAAUUUUUUUUCUAAAAAUUAAUUUUUUGUGCAUGUUUUGGAUCGUUUUGAUGUGCUGAUCUCAAAAUUGAUUUUUUAAAAAAAAACAUCAUUUUAAUAUAUUUUGAUACGGAAAGCAACCGCAAUUACACUUUCAAACACGCCCGGAGUGUGUGGGAGAGGGUAAAUUAUGGCUGAUGUGCAUUUGUGCUUGUUGCCGUCGACAGUGUGUUCAUCUGCUAAAAAUAUGGCAGUGGGUAGAGGGAGAGUAUGAUGGGGAGAUAUUGUAAAAAAGAAAUCAGACAUGAUGUUUGCGUAUGUUUUAAGCUAUAAAUGAUGGUUGUCGACAGAGUUAACAGUGGCUAGAAAUGGUGGUUGGGGUGAAAGAAGAGAGGAUGUAGAUGCCGUGAUGGUGGCUGGAAAUGAUAUUUAUAAAUGGAAAAUUUUGUUAAAAAAACUGGUGUGAUGUUCAACGACUAUUCUUUUUAGAAAAUAGGUAAUGGUAACCUCAUGGUAGAGUUGUGAAAUUAGCAUGCAAUGGCUUUUUAGUUUUUAUAAACAGAAAAAAAAUUUAACAUUAACAAAUUAAAUUAAAUAAAUUAAUUAAUUAAAAAAAACUAGAAAAAAAUGUGGGUUAACCCAUCAAAUUCGGAAUCCGUGUCAUGAAAGUUUGAUAACUAAAUAAAAUUUUUUUUAACAUUAACAAAAAAAAUUAAACAAAAAAAACCAGCUUACAAAAAACAAAGCAAAAAAAAAACAAAUUGCAAUUCACGGUAAAAAACUGAGCUGUUUUAGUUAUACUUAAUUUAGAAUAUAAUAGUAAUUUUAUAAUUUUUUUCAAAUUAUUUUGUUAAUUUUUUUUAUGGGUUUCAAUAAAGAUAUAAAAGUGUCAUGAAAAAAUAUAAAAUACUAUAUUCAAAUUGUAAUUUAUAAAACCAUCAAGGGAAAGCAUUAUAGAACGCAAACACUUAAAAUAAUUUUCUUUUUUUUUCAUUUUUUUUUAGUAACUAAAGAGAAAAGGAAAGAAAAAAUAAUAAUUGAGUAUAUAUAUUGAACUAAAAAAAUUCAGAAAUUCAAACUUCCAACUUAAAAAAAAAAAAAAAGAGGGUUGAAUGUUUCAAUGUACACACAACAUCAGAACACCAUGAAUUGCUAUGGUAUAAUGACACUUUUGUCCUUAAAAUAAAAAAUCAUUAAAACUAUUAGGAAUAAUAUGAUCUUUCUCAAGGUUUAUUAGUUAUUAUUAAAUUGAUUGAGAAUAGAUUAAUUUUUUAUCAUUUUAAAAACAUAGUGAAAUGACUAAAUCACCAUUGAAAGCACAAUUUUAAAACUGAUGUCCAUUGGCUUUUUUGUAUUUUCAUCAUGGUUUUUUUAGUUACAAUCAAGUCAACCAAGAGAAAAUAUGAUAUUUUAAUAAAUAUAAAAUAUAAUUAAAAAUCAAAGGUGGCCGACGCGUGCGUCACAUGGACUAGCGUGUGGAGAGCUUCAUCUUCUUUAAAUAGUGGGUGAGGUGUUGCCUAAACAACCAAAUGCUAACUUCCACGGCAGCGUUAGGAAUGACGCACCUAGUUCUUUUAGGUGAUAGGGCGUGUGUCAGCGGAAGACUAACGAUGCAACCCCAACAAAUUAUUUUUCUUCAACUCUCUCUUUUCUUUCUCCUCACCUCGGGUUUCAUGCAUGCCCUUCCAAAAAUUAAAUGUGUCUUAUCAGUUUGUAUUUGUAUUAAUUUUGAUUCUCAUUCUUUUAAUUGCUAUUUAUUUUGCUUUUAAUGCUCUUUGAAGUUGAUUUUGUUUUUCAACUUUAUCCCUUAAUAUUCGAUUUCAUUUAAUUUCUUAUCCAAUUUAGUCCUUAUUUUUUUAUUGCUAUUUGUUUAUUUUAUUUUUAUCAUUUUCUUGAUUUACUUUAUUUUUUAAUUUUGUAUCUCAUUAUUUUAUUUCAUUUAAUUUUUAUACUAGAUUUGAUCAUCAUUUUUUUUUAUUGCUAUUAUUGUUUUUUAAUCAUUUUCUUGAUUGAUUUUUUUCUUUUAAUUUUAUCACUCGAUAUUUGGAUGAUCUAAAAUUUUGCUUCACGAAAUGUUUGCUUUCUAUGGGGUAAUUUUGGUCUCAAACCCAGGUCACAAGUUUUAAAUAUUAGCUUGAUUAAACUUUGUUUUUUUAUGUUUAUUUUUAAAAUUGUUUAUUUUUCAAUUUUAUAAUUCAAAAAUUAGGUUACCGGGCCUUAAGUUUCAUGAUUUUUUUUGUUUUUAUUUCUCUGGGGUUAUCCCGAUUUUAUAUCUCGGGUCGCGAGUUAGUAGAGUUAACUUGAGUUGAGUUUGAUUUUUUUAUGUUUUUUAGUUUCGCUUUUCAUCAUUUAGUUUGCUUGAUAGUUGAUUUCCAUUAUUUUAUUCAACUUCUUUUGUAUCAGGUUAUCCCCAUAUCAUGACCGGUCCAUAAAUUUGGCAUGCCGACUCAAGUCGGGUUUUUCUAUUUAUUUUUAAAAUUGAUUUUUCUCAUUCUUCAAUAUUUUAUUUGCUAGUAAUUAAGCUUGAGAUUUGUUUUUAUAUUUUUCUUUUUACGAGAUUAUUUCAUUGUAAUUCAAUUGUUAUAUUGUUAUUAAAUAAGAUUGUUGAGAUAUUUUAAGAAUAUUUUUUUCCUAAUAGUGAUAAGUUUUUUUUAUUUCAAUUAGUCAUUGUGUUUUUUUUUUAGUUUUUUUUAGUUAUUAAUUUUGUUAUAAUUAUAUUAUUAAAGUAACUAAGUGUAUAUUGAAUUACUUGAAUUCCAAAUUUUUCUUACUCCUUUCUUCAAAAACACUAUCUUCGCCUGAUUUUUUCUUAUUAAAAAAACUUAUCCCGGCCUAUGAUUUACUGAUGCGGAUCACCUAUCUAGUAAUUCACUGUUAAUCAAACGAAACGGCAAUAACGUAAAUAAACCUAACAUCGAUGUCCAAUUCCGAAAAACAGUCUGCAGUGAAGAUUAAAGAUACAGGCUCAAGCAAGUGCGCGAGUCAUGACAGACUCAGUUCGAGACAACAACUAAUUUAAAAUCCGAUCCAUCCAACUCACCUUCUGAAAACAUCUCUAUUUCUCUCUCAUUUUCUUCUCAACAAAACACACGUAAAAUGGCAAUGGCAAUGCAGAUCUUAGGAUUGAUUUUCUGAAUAAUCCAAACAAUUAAUUACUAGUAAAAAAAAGUAAUGGCAGUUCCAGUCGAAGAAGCCAUAGCAGCUCUCUCUACCUUCUCUCUUGAAGUAUCCCCUAUCUACCUAUUCUACAAUUUCUCCUUUUUUUUUAAUUUCAUGCAAAAUGCUACAAUGUAUUUCUUUUUUUUAAUAAUUAAUCAUACUUUUAUGAUUUAGUGACUUUUUUUUUUAAUUUGUGUGAAAGGAUGAGCAAGCAGAGGUCCAAGGAGCUGGGGUUUUGGUUUCAUCCGAAAGAGGAGCAACCAACAGUCCUAUUGGUAAUUUUUCUUUCGAUCUUUUAAUAAUUUCUUACUCGUAAAAUUCUUGAUGGCAAUUAUUAUUAUUAUUAUUAGGUGGUAAAAAAAUGUGUUAAUUGAUGGUAAUGACUGGUGAAAUUCUUCAUUUUUAUAGAGUAUGGUGAUGUUUCUGCGUAUCGUUUAUCUCUAUCAGAAGACACAAAAGCUCUGAAUCAGCUGGUAUGUGGCUGUGGCCGCCCUCUUUUUUUUUUUCUUUUUUUUUUAUUUAUGAAUGUAAUUUCAUUGGUCUGGUGGGGUUUUUUUUUAUGGUAUUUACUGUUCGGUGUAAAUUGCAUUUUAUUUAAUCGAGGAACGUAAUUUCAUUGGUUUGGUGGGUUUUUGAUGGUAAUUACUGUUCGGUGUAAAUUGCGUUUUGUUUUGCUUUAUUUUAUUGAUGAAUGUAAUUUCAUUGGUUUGGCGGGUUUUUUAUGGCAAUUACUGCGGAAUGUGAGGGCAGAAUGCACUUAUCCAAGAGGGGAAGGAGAUGGCAUCGGUGCUUUAUACGUAUAGAAGUUGCGUCAAAGCACUUCCUCAGGUCUAUUUUGGUUUCAAUUCUAAUAAAUAUGAAUAUGAUUGUUGUCAUUGAAAUACAUCACUGAAUAAUUUUAGUUUUUUUUCCGGUUCUUUGAAAAAUGUAUAUGAUGUGGCAGCUUCCAGAAUCCAUGAAGCACAGUCAGGCUGACUUGUAUCUGGAGACGUAUCAAGUUUUGGACUUGGAGAUGAGUCGUUUGCGUGAAAUCCAGAGAUGGCAAGCAUCGGCUGCAUCGAAAGUAUAUGAUCUCUCACCUUCUUUUAUUUAUUGUUUACAGUAAUGUACCAUGUGUGGUUCUUGCUCUUGCUGAGUUUUUAACACCUUUGUGUGUUGUUUGAUGAUGCAGCUAGCAGCUGAUAUGCAGCGGUUUUCUAGGCCUGAGCGGCACAUUAAUGGCCCCACGAUAACCCAUCUCUGGUACAUUGUUGCCUUUUCGUUGUCUAUUUUCCUCUUCCGUUGCCUCAAUUGCCUUGUUUUCUUGUAGUGCUUACCUCAUUUUGAAGUUAUUAAUGUGCUUUAAAGUUAGCUCCUUGACAUCCUCUGAACUUUCUCCUCAGUUUGAGAGAUCUUAAAAAAAAAUUUCUUGAAAAAUUUAAUCAGUGAUUCUUUUAUUAACCUUUUUUUUUUAAAAAAUUCCAGGUCCAUGUUGAAGUUGCUUGAUGUUUUAGUUCAACUUGAUCAUCUUAAAAAUGCCAAGGCAAGCAUACCUAAUGACUUCUCAUGGUACAAGAGGUAUGAAAAUUAAAUACUUUACCUAGGUUACAUGCCCUUUUUGAUGUUUGAUAUGGAUUCUCCAACUUCCUUUUCAUCAUUCCCCCCUUUUCCUUCCACCUGUUAAAGCCACUUGGAUGGGAAUCGGCAGUCAUUUGUUAUAGUUUCUCUAUAAUUGUUGAUAGUCUCGUUUGAACUUAUCAAGAAUAUCUUCAGUACUAUAUGUUUAGCAAUUUUAGGAUUUGCUGGUGGCUUAUUACUUGGAUGACCAAAGCCUAAUCUAUAACCCCUGCAGAUCACUUACAGAAAUAGGUCACUAAUAUUUCUCAUCUUCAGAAACUUUGAUUAAUUCCCAAAACACAUACAUGAUAGUAUGACAAGUUCCAAGUGAGUUCUCUGUGGUAUAGAUUAGAAACUGAAAACAAGCAUUUGAGACUAUGAAAAAGUGGGCCUCCUUUAACUUCAAUUUAAAGCAUAUAUUUAUACUACUCCUGUCCUUAAAUUUUCUAGCUUGAGCAUCUUGCAGUCCACCCCUUACUCUCUGCAAAUAUGUCUAGUAAAACUUCUUGGAAUGUGAACUUUAUUAAUUUUGCAAUUUUAUUCUAUGGAUUGGUAAAGCUUAGUGGUGGUGAAAUUGUUUUCUAUUCAAGUGUUAGCUUGUGUAAUAUUAACUUUUUAUGUUCAAAAUUUAUGCCUUUUAGUUAUAGAUAUAUAUAUAUAUAUAUAUUUUAUCAAAACAGUGAAUGGAGAAUAGUUAUUCCCUGCUAUUAAUUCAUCGGAACUGUUCUCUCCUCUUAUACAUAUCAAUUAAAUAAGUGUAGUUGGCUAAGCUACUAAAUCCAACUUUUAAAACACAAUGUUUCGUACAGUUUCUUUAUGGACAUUUCCAAGUUUUUUAGUUUCUUUUCACUCAAUAUUAGAAUUAUUGACUUGCUGUUUUGCCAUGCAGUCUAACAUUGUUUCUUUCUGUUACUUGUAUCUGAUUUUGACAGGACAUUCACCCAAGUUAGUGUUCAGUGGCAAGACAUUGAUUCUAUGAGGGAGGAGUUAGAUGAUUUACAGGUGUGAGAACUUUUCUUGUGUGACCUUUUCUGUUUUAAAUGAUAUUUUACCUCAAUUGUUUUUGAAGGGCCUUUUUUUUUUGUCCUUUUGGCUGGCCAAGUGCUGAUGUGAUAUCUUCUAUUAUUCACUGUUAGUCUGAUGAUAUGGUCAAUAUUAACUGCAUUGUUACUCAACUGCUGCAGAUAUUCUUAAGCACAAGGUGGGCAAUCUUAUUGAACUUGCAUGUCGAGAUGUUUCGGGUGAACAAGUAUCCUUAAUAAUUAUUGAAUGCCUUCCAGUGUGACAGGACAGGAAGAAAUACUUGAUUUCUUUUUUUGACACAAAAAUUUACCCUGUCCGACAUAAAUUCUUUUAUGAUACCAUCAUUCUAUGUAAAUAAUCGCCUGUCUGGCUCUUCUUUCUUUAAACUGAAAAGUAUAGUUGGUAUUAAAAUGUGGUCCUUGACUCGAAAAAGUGUAGAAGAUAUUCUUCAAGUUCUGAUAGUCUUUGCUGUUGAGUCAUUGGAAUUGGAUUUUGCGCUUUUAUUUCCUGAGAGACACAUUCUUCUACGUGUUUUACCUGUCCUUGUCGUCUUAGCAACAUCAUCAGAAAAAGACAGUGAGUCACUGUACAAGAGGGUAAAAAUAAACAGGCUGAUAAAUAUUUUCAAGGUAUUCUGUUCACAUUUCUUGGUGCUCUGGUAAUCUAAAAUGUCAUAUUGGGCUGAGCUUGCACAAAAGUUUAGUUUUACAUGUCUGAAAUCUAAUCAAUUCAUUGAUAUUUUCUAAUUUGUUUGUGAUUUGUGGCAGAACGAUCCAGUCAUUCCUGCAUUCCCUGAUCUUCAUCUUUCUCCUGCUGCAAUCUUGAAAGAGUUGUCCAUUUACUUUCAAAGGUUUUCUGCACAAACUCGUCUUCUCACCCUUCCAGCACCUCAUGAGCUCCCACCUCGGGACGCACAAGAAUAUCCUCUACAUUUAUUUUUUAUCAUGACUUACUGCCCCCCCGCUCUCUCUCUAUCAUUUGCUUUGACCAUUAUCUUGACAAAAUAGGCAUGCACUUCUCAUCUUUGUGAUUGUUUGGACAAUGAGGACUUGAUUAGUUACUUGCCCCCAUGUCCACACAAUAGACCAUUAAUGCUUUUGCUAUAUCCAUUUUGUAGUUAGAAUAAUAACUGAUCUUUGUUUCGCUUUGUAGAACUUGUAUGUGUAAUCGUUAAAGCCUUAACAUAUCGUACUUAUCAGAGGCAUUAUCUCAUCAUUAAUCACAUUGGAACUAUUCGUGCCGAGCAUGAUGAUUUCACAAUUCGUUUUGCUUCAUCCUUGAAUCAGGUGCUUACCCCCACUUCACCCUGCCUUUUCCCCUCCCUAUAAAUGGUUUGAGUAAGCUUUAUCAUUAGCUUUUUAAUGCGUGUUUCCUAUCUUUUCAAAUUGUGUUCGCAGCUAUUAUUAUUGAAGUCAAUAGAUGGUGCAGAUGUUGAUUGGUGCAAAGAAGUCAAGGGAAACAUGUAUGAUAUGGUUGUUGAAGGGUUCCAGCUCUUAAGCAGAUGGACUGCACGGAUUUGGGAACAAUGUGCUUGGAAAUUUUCUCGCCCAUGCAAAGAGGCAAUUCCUUCAGAAUCAAAUGGAUCUUCAGAAUCGUUUUUCGACUAUGAAAAGGUAUUAUAUUCUAUAUUUUAUGAUUUUGUUAUUGGGAUGGUCGAACCUCUUCAAUCUUGGUUGGUAUGUAUUUGAAUGCUGAAGCUCAGUCAGCAAUGCUCACCUGAGAAAUCCAACAACUUAGAACUAACUUAGAAGGAUUUAUGUGGGGCCAUACUUGUGAUAACCAAAUCUGAUAUAAAAAUUCAAGAACCACUGCCUUGACUCAGUAUCAUUUUAUUUGUUUGCUUGACUUAACAUAUAGUAAUGCCGAAUUAGCUUGCAGGUGGUACGAUAUAAUUACAGUGCUGAGGAGAGGAAAGCACUUGUUGAGCUUGUUAGUUACAUAAAAAGUGUUGGAUCGCUGAUGCAUCGGCAUGACACAUUGGUAGUUGAUGCCUUAUGGGAAACAAUACAUGCUGAAGUCCAAGAUUUUGUCCAAAACACAUUAGCCACCAUGUUGAGGACUACCUUUAGAAAGAAGAAGGACCUGUCGAGGUGGGCUUUUUAGUCAGUAUUUGUCAUUUGAAUUUAUGGCUAGAGUUUCACAAUUCCAAGCUCUCUUCCCUACAAAUUAGGGGACUAGGGGUUGAAAUUGGGUUUGAGUCCUGCACUUGCUUCCUUAAGAACAACACUAUUAUUUUUCUCAUCCAUCAAAAAGUAGAUGCCCAUUAUUGUCAUUAUUAUGUACUAUGUACCAUUAGCAUAGUAUUUUGUUUUUCAAAUGAUAAAUGAAGAUUUUGUUAAUAGACAAAGGAAUGGGAAAUUACUAGUGGUAAAAAGUAACUUGUUUGAGAAAAAUAAGAUAAGAAUUGCCCAGUUCUGCUGAACGGCUAAAGAUACUUCUCAAAAAGCUUCUAACCAAUACACUAUGAAAUGUCCAUGAAACCCAAUCCGUCCUAUUGUAGUUUCUGGAAAAUGGACCGAUUCUUGAACCUCUCGCUCUCCACACGCAUGCAUUGUGUCAUUCAUGGCACAACAUGUCUUUACCUUUGCGAUCCUUAACCCUCCUAAGGCACAUAAAGUUAACUGGUAAUGAUUCUGUGACACUCACUGAGAUACCAUCGCUCACUUAGACAUGGGAAAAUGUCAAUGGCAAUGCUAUUACAUGUGAGACAUUACAAUCAUAAGAAAAUCAGGAGCUACAUCCAACAACAUUCUCUACUUGUUCUUCCUAAUUUUAUGCCCAUACUGUUGAUAUGUUUUAACUUGCUAGUAAAGAUAAAAUCUGCUUCUGAAUGGUUUUCACUUAAAUGUUUCAACUGCUGACUAUUGAUAUGUUUUAACUUGCUAAUAAAGAUAAAAUCUGGUUCUAAAUGGUUUUCACUUAAAUGUUUCAACUGCUUAUUUAUUUUAUGUAAUUGGUAACUUUCAGGAUUCUUUCUGACAUGCGGACGCUUUCAGCAGACUGGAUGGCAAAUACAAGCAAGCCUGAAUCUGAUUUACAGUCACAUGGAGGUGAUGAAAGCAAAGGGAGCUUCUUUUAUCCAAGGCCAGUGGCACCCACAGCCACGCAGGUUUUACUCAUCUACUCCACUUAUUCAUGCUUUUAUGUUUCCUGUCAAGAUAUAGGAAUCAUAAUUCCUAGUAUAUGACAUUGUCAGAUAAGUGGAGCUCCGGAAGACAAACCUUUAUGGUUGAGUUCUCAGUCACACCCGUGAAGCUUUGUAAUACAGAGUGACUGAGAAAAGAUUUAAGGCAUACUAUCACUUAUGAAAAAUUUAGUUAGAUACCAACUACCAAGGAAAUUAAUUAUAAAGUUUGUCUUACUCACAUGUUUGAUGAAGAUUUUGUUUUAAAACAUAAAAGUGAACAAUAGAAAUACAACUGCCCAAGGUUGCUAUCCAUUGACAGAGUGAAUGGCUACGUAAAAGACAGAUGUCAACCGUGCAACAUAUGGGCCACAUGCGUGACUUCAAGAAAUUAUGUUGCAUGCCAAUGUAAUAUUGUUUUAAUAAAAGAGUCUUUCAAAUAGGUAUAAAAAACCCCUUCUUACCAAUGCUUUUUGUUUAUUUCAUCCACGGGAUCCAAAGUAUAGCAGAAGCGACCUACAAUGUCAUUCAACAAUCACACUCUGAACAUCUAACUUAUCAUCAACUAAACUUGUUGUGGCCAAUGUUGUUCAACAAGCACACUAACUCCAAUUUCUAGCUCAUUGGAUUUUGGAAGUAAAUGAUUAAUAGGCUCAACACUUGCUUCAUAAAAAAUACCAAAUCACUAGGACCUCUCCUCUCUUUUGAAAAUUGCCAGUAGGCCAAAAACAAAAAACUUGAAGGGAGUUUUAGACUUCUGCAUUCCUCUCUAGGGAAGUGGGAAAACCCUGUCCUCUCUUUGUUGCACUAAUUCCUUGAGUUUGAGCUCCAUAAAUUGAUCCAAAAUUAAGCUUACCAAACUAUGUCAUCAUAUGUCAUUCUCAUCUUCUCCUGCUUUAACCUUAAAACACUGAACACCAAUGAGCUAGUUGUUGAUAGGAGUAGUAUCUUCAGUGAUAGCUAGUUGUUGAUAGGAUUGCUAGAGCCCUCUUUCUAUAAUCGGAUGACUUGUGGCCCGGUUCUCCACAUUUGAAGCAAUUGUUAUUGCCUUCUUGGAAUUGCUUUUCAUCCUUGGAUUGAGUGUGUUAGGGCUGUUUAGCUGCUUUAUAAGUCACUCGGGUCUGUUGCUCACCUCUCGGAUUUAGUCAUUUUCCAAAGUUGGAGGCAUUCCCCACCUUGGACUGACCAAAACCUUGCUGUCCAAAUCUGGAAGAACAUGUUUGCUGUUGUACAGAUCUUGAAUAACCCUUACUUUGUUGUUGUUCUAUGAGCAAAACUUUAUUGUAUGCCUUUGAAACAUUCAACAAUCUUUGCAAGACAAGAACAUCUUGAAUUGAGAGUUUUAAUCCACUCAAAUAAUGAACAACCUUUUGCUAUUCAUUUUCAUUCACAUUAACUCUAGAGAUGAGUUGAUAAAACAAAUUGGUAUACUCUUCCAUGCUAUCCACUUGCUUGAGGUUGUGCAAGCUUUUGUAAAGGAUUCGAGUGUCGUUGGCAGAGAGAAAUUGCUCACACAAAUUUUUCUUCAUCUUCCCCUAAUUAUUAAUCUCACCCUUACCACUCCUUUGGUGAGAGACUUGCAAAUGUUCCCACCAAGAUGAAGUACUUCCCUUGAAGUGGAUAGCCACAAAUCUAACUUUCAUUUCAUCUACUACAUCAUAGUAGUCAAAAACUCUUUUCAUGGUGUUUAACCAAUCUACAAAAUUAUUUGAGUUCAAACUUCCUUGGAAUUCUAGCAUUUCAACCAUGAUGCUUUGUUUAAGUGCUACCUAUUAACAUUAGGUCUGUCAAGCUAUAUUGCAUCAAAAGGAUUCUUAAACUGAGAAUGGAAUCCUCAAGUUUGUGAUCAACCUCACUAGGAGGGAUCAUUCAUUGUACAAGUCUUGUAAGAAGCUCAACUUGCCUUUGUAAAUUAGCAAUCUUGUCAACUCUACCAUCAUUCUACUGGUGUCCAUCAUUCCUCCUAAUUGGAGGGUUGGCUUCAACUCCCGCAAACAUCCAUUUGAUCUCCCCUUGCUCCACCCCUCUAUCCUCUAUCUCUUUGUGCCAUUUUAAGCUCAAAAUCUUGAACAAAAUGCGACACAAGUGAUUAAAUUUGCUGUAGUCACAGCAUUACAACACCACCGCAAACUGAUAAAAUCUCGUGACUGAAGCUAUAUAGAACAGGUCUUAAUUGCACGGGGGAGCUUGAUGUGCAGCUGGAAAUGUAUACUAAAUUGAUGAUUUCCUUGCUGAUUUCUGGCAGGAUUUGUGUGCUGAAUGUGGCUGAAUUUAUAACUGGAUUCCGAGCCAUAACUCUUGACUUCAAUCUCUUUAGUUUGUUGGUUGUUUAUAGCUGUAAGAACAUUACAAGUUAGGCCUUAGAUUGUAUUCUUGGUCAGUCUUGAACAUCAUUUUGUAAUCUCAAUUGUUAGAGAAGAGUUUCUCUCUGAAGUUUUUGUAUUUAUUCUCACUUCCUAACAAUUCCAGCAUUUCUACUUCCUACUUUCCUUUGAUCCAAACUAGGAUCACAUCAUCUAAGUGGCACCUAUUCAAUAGGAGCUGUGGAUGUUGUGAAAUGAGGACCAGAUAGAGAGUUGGAUUAAGAUAAAAUGAGAAGUAAGACUGUAAAUUUCAAAGGUUGGGUUGAGGAGGUAGAAGAGGAUAUAUUCAGAAGAUUUCAGUGUUUAAGGGAGUGAAAUCUCCUUCUAAAUUUUUUGUUUUGGUCAUGUCACCCAACUCUGUCUAUUUAUUGGGCAUCAUCUUCCUGUUGACAAAAUUUUUUCCUGCCUUCAAGACUACUAGACUGAUGAAGUUCUCAGUUCAAAUUCUUUCCAUAUCUCUAUGACAAUAUUGCAUGUAUCAUCAAACAAGCCAUUUUUCAUUUUUAACAUAAAAUUUAUUAUAAUAUAUGCAUCUUAUGCUACCACACUAUGCAUGCCUCAUGGUUUCCUUCCUUUCCAAUCAUGUAUUUAUGUUUUAAAUGAAUGAGUUUCGAUUAAAAUAUCAUCGCUACAUGCAAACAUAUGUUCAUACUAAAUUAAGAUCAUCAGUUUUCUUGGUUCAGGUCCAUUGCCUGCAGUUCUUGAUAUAUGAAGUGGUGUCUGGUGGUAAUCAUCGGAAGCCUGGUGGGCUCUUUGGCAACAGUGGGUCUGAGAUUCCUGUGAACGAUUUAAAGCAAUUGGAGAGCUUCUUUUACAAGCUUAGCUUCUUCCUACAUAUAUUGGACUAUUCAGGUAUUCUUAUUUAAUUGUUUGUCUUUUCCAAAAGAAGAGAUUAACCUGUUUUUAGGAGUGAAGGCAAUUAGUCAUGCUGGUCCAAGUUUUCAGUUAUUUUUAUAAUUAGCAGUCCCAUGUAUGGGGUCUAUAAAGACUUUCAUCCCUGAUAUUUUUACACUAUGUUUAGUUGUGAUCUUCUGAUGAAUUCUAGUAUGCAAAUCCUUUUCUUGAAAAACUCUAAAUGACUACAGAAUUUUCUGGACAAAUGAGCUUAUAGUAAGCAUAGGAAUAAGAAGAUUCUUCACAUGGUAUGAUGUAUCCUGAAAUUAUCCUAAAAGAUAAAGGAUUUCCUUUACAUGGUCCUCAAGAUCAAGAUGCCAACCCAAUUCUUAAAUAUCAUCCAUUUGAUAUCUUGAUUCAUUGUCAGUAGAUCAUGCUAAUAGGAGCAUUGGCACAUAAUUGUUCCCUUACAGAACCCUUGUCUAAUUAGCCUUGCGGACCCCAUAAAAAUGAAGAAUAGAGAUGGCACUUCUUCAAUGGAUAUUCUUUGCUUUGCACAGUACAGAAAAUGCUAAUUUGGCAUAUUAGCAGCACAUCCAUGUUCACGGUGCUUCUGCUUCUUUGAGGAGAAUAUAACUAAUUUUGCUCCUGUUAGUGUUUUUCAUUGGUCCAAGCUAGGUGGAAAAUGACCUUUUGCUGCACCAAAUUUCAAGUGGUAUAUACUGAAGUUUAACAAUUCUGAAAAUGUCUGCAGCGACUGUGGCAACUUUGACAGAUCUUGGUUUCUUAUGGUUUAGAGAAUUUUAUUUGGAGUCAUCUCGAGUUAUUCAGGUAAGAAAACAGGAUUUCUUGUGGACCUGCUAUAGCUAAUGAAACUCUUCUAAACAUGGAGAGAACUGGUCUACCUUACUAAAUUGAUGUUAACUCAGAAAUUGUUUUCUUGCUUAUUUUUAAACUAAAUUGAUCCGAGGAAGUGAUUAACUUGGUAUGAGGGGCUUACAUGUAUAUAUGAACUCUUAAUUAGAAACUUCAGUCAUUGUUCUCUGUUGUUUAACUCCUUUUGUUCUAUUUCCUUGUUUAAAUCAUAUUGGUUGGGAAAGUUAUCAAGUUUCGUUCCAAUCCUGAUUAGAUGAAAUUUUAUUGCUUUGGUCGUUUACAUCUGGUCAUGAACUGGUCCUGAUUUUCUCUUUUAUGGAAUUACCUGAAAUGACUUCUGGUGGCUAUACAUAGAUUUAGACAUUUAUUAGGAAGACAGUAUGAUAAGGGUGUAUCAGAACAGAAGAAGGUUUCCAAAUGAAAGAAAGCAGCAUGUUCAACUGAUAGGUCAUUAAAAUUUCAUAAUAGUGAAGUGGUAAUUCUUUGUUUUAUUUUCCUUUCAUCCACUUUCUUUUUCAUUAUAUUACUUUCCUGAUUUGUAGAAAUUUUUUUGCUAUCCAUAUGCAGUUUCCUAUUGAAUGCUCUCUUCCUUGGAUGCUGGUGGAUCAUGUGCUUGAGUCCCAGAAUGCAGGUCUUCUUGAAAGUGUUCUGAUGCCAUUUGACAUCUACAAUGAUUCAGCUCAGCAAGCUCUGGCUGCAUUAAGGCAGCGAUUCCUCUAUGAUGAAAUUGAGGCCGAGGUAUAUUAUAUUUUAGCAUUUUCUAGGACUAAUUUUUUUGCAUCCCUUGUUGGAAAUGUAUGCAUUUUCUAUUUGUCAUUUGAUAAGCUGGCUGUGGCCUGUUGAAUUUUUGCUCUAACUCAGUGGUUGCAAGUUUUUAUAGGUGGACCAUUGUUUUGAUUUAUUUGUUUCAAAACUCUCUGAAAUUAUUUUCACUUGUUACAAGAGUUGGGCAGCAAGGUACACGGCUUUCCUUCUCUCAUUAAUAACACAUGCUACUGGAAAUACAAUGUAUUAAAUCAUCUGUCUUGUUGGUUUGCUAAAUCCUGUAGUGAAAUGCUUGAUCCUUCAUUCCUCUUUGCUUUGGACAAUGGAGAAAAGUAUUCUGUACAGCCUAUGAGAUUCACUGCACUAUUUAAGAUGACGAGAGUAAAGGUAAAAGUAUACUUUUCCUAUGUUGUCACUGAUUUACUGCACCUGUGGUCGCUGAUGUGUUUGGGCCACAUUUGUCUUGCGAAGUAUUCAUUACCUUCUCACUCUUUGGCAAUUUUUAAUGACAGUCUGAAAUUUUGAAAACAUAAUAUUUUAUUUUUUUCAAUUUACUCUUUAACUGGGACUGGGUACCUCAACUGUGGGAUUAUUUCACACAGUUAUUUCUCAGCUUAUGAUUGGACCAUAUAUCUCUGCUUUUGUUUUACAUGUUUUAAUCAUCUUUUUCUUUCUUUCUGUCAAUCUGAAGAGGAAUAGUAAUUUAGACCAUGCUCCUCUGAUACUCUCUCCCUUCAUUUGGAUUUAAUUGUGUACAGUUACUUGGGAGGACCAUUGAUUUAAGAAGCUUGGUUUCUGAAAGGAUGAACAAGGUUUUCAGAGACAAUAUUGAGUUUCUUUUUGAUCGUUUUGAGUCUCAAGAUCUAUGUGCAGUGGUGGUAAGUAGAUUGUUCUUGUGUUUCUUAUAUUAGUAAUACAACUAUCAUGGUGCUAUGUGGUGCUAACUGCUUGGUUCUCACAUAUUCAUAAGUAUAACGAGAUAUGGAUGUAUGUAAUGCAUGGCAUUUUGACUUACCAGAUUGAGCUUUUUGGUUGAAUUCUCUAAUGAUAAAAACUAAAUCAAUAAUUUUUCUGAUGGAAAAACAAAUACCUUGAUUUCGUUGCAGGAAUUAGAAAAACUUCUGGAAAUAUUAAAGCAUGCUCAUGGACUGCUUUCAAAAGAUAUUUCAAUAGACUCGUUCAGUCUCAUGUUGAAUGAAAUGCAAGAAAACUUAUCUCUUGUAUCAUUUUCUAGUCGACUUGCAACUCAGGUUUGGCAAACUAUUUCUGGCUUUAAUUUUAUGGGUACAUCUCUCUGUUAUAGUUAUGCAUGCUAUAAUUGUUAAAUCAAGAUGCACAAUCAUGGUAUUCUGGGCAGUGUUUCACUCUAAUCUCUAAUAUGUAUCUGUCUUAUAAAUUUCAAACUCUAGGAAUGCAGAUAAACUGCUCGGAGUCUCAAUUUUUAAGCCUAUACAUCCAUUAGACAUAGAGGGAAGAAUUGAUACUUUGUUUAUAUGGAUGAGGUGGCAUUGUGCAUCAUUAAUCUUAUUGUAUAAUAUGCAUACUCUCUUGUCUCUCUGAUUCUGGGAAGAAUUAUUUUAAAAAUUAGCUUAUCUGAUGUACUUGUUGAAAAUCAUUUGGGCUUUCUUAUCCUUGUUUUGGCAAUGAAAAGAUAUCUCACAUUGGGGACAGCUAUACUAAAGCCAGAAGAGCAUGUCUCAAGCCAGUUAGUUAUCAUUUUUGCUUGAGGACCUUUAUAUCUCGUCAUUGUGUAUGCAUUGUCUAAAGGAGACUUCUCAUGCAUGUUGUAUUAUUGGUAUGAUUGAGCUUGCCAAUCCCUAUUCUUGUACCUAAAACAAAGCAUGAUGCAUCCUUUCCUAUCUUUGAAAAGAAAAAUGUAGCGAGAGGAUGAUAUUAAUUAAAGGAAAAAUCACAUCUAGGCCAAUUCAUUAGCAUUUUGGGUUAGAACUUUUAUGUUUUGUCAUUGUGUAUGCAUUGUCUAAAGGAGACUUCUCAUGUGAGUCAUAUUAAGUGACCUUGAGGAUUCCAUGGUCUUGUACGUACAUACUAAGAGUGAUGCAUAUUUUUCUUAUCAUUAACUUAAAGAAAAGUGUAAGAAAAGGUAUGAUAUUAUUAAAGAAAAUUCCUAAGUGUGCUGUUUAUUUUUAUCUUUUGCUUUUCCAAGGAGCUAGUCUCACUCAAUCAAUUCAUUGGUGUAUGGUAGAUUUGGUCAGAGAUGCAAAGUGAUUUCCUGCCAAACUUUGUCUUAUGCAACACUACUCAGCGUUUUGUCCGAUCAUCAAGAGUUCCUCUUGUUCCUGUGCAAAAGCCAUCAGUUCCCCAUGCAAAGGACAACUUCUAUUGUGGUACUCAGGUAACAAACUAGAGCUUAGACACCAUCCUUUGAUUGGGUUUUACAAAUAUGAUGCUAUUUUGUUUCUCAUAAUACCUUUUGACUUUCAUUCUCAUUUAAUAUUAUCUUGGCAGGAGUUGAAUUCUGCGCAUCAAAGCUUUGCUCGUUUGCACAGUGGGUUCUUUGGAAUUCCCCACAUGUUUUCUGUUGUUAGACUUCUAGGAUCCAGAUCGUUGCCUUGGCUUAUCCGAGCCCUGUUAGAUCAUAUAACAAAUAAGGUAUGUGAUGCUUUUGAGAAUUUAGUCUAUGUUCAUUUAUUAACACUCAAUGUCAUGAAAAGAUGGAUCUUGAUACGAUUUGAAUGAUUUUAUUUGAAGCUGUGUGGAUGAACAUUAAGAUUGAGUUUAAUAUUUCAUGAUGUGUUUCAGGUAACUACACUUGAACCAAUGAUUACUGGAUUGCAAGCAGCGUUGCCAAAAUCUAUUGGACUGCUCCCUUUUGAUGGAGGAGUCACAGGUACAUGGUGGUGUCAUGAUUCUGAUAGCGUCUUCCUUUUUUUCUUUUUUACAUGCACGGCUGGAUGUGUUAAAAAAAGGCUGAAAGAACUUCUAUAUGAUAUAUUAACAUAUGCAUGUGUACAUGCAUCACAGUAACAAUAUGUUGACAUAUGUUUUAUUAUGGAUCAGUGAAUUAAAGCUUAUGGGUGUACAGUGCACUUUAGGAAUUAAUGUCUGUUUGGAGAGCUUCAGGAAGAAUCUGGUGCAAAGUUUACCACAUUCAAUUCUAACAACCACCAACCUUUAGGAUCUUAUGCACUCAAUUAGUGUCAGUGAGAGAAAAGUUAAGUGAGUGCCCAGGUGUGAUACAUGUGGUGAGAGCUUCCUUGAAUGUGAGGUGAAAAAAAUCUGUUUUGAGUGAUUUCUAAGUGCUGUAGCUGUGAGGGCUUGUCUCAACUGUGUUUGAUUGUCUUUUUAUUCAUCAGUGGAUUCAAUAUUUCCAUUGCAGGUAUUCACUUACCAAGUGCCUGCUCACAUCAAUUUUUUUUUUUUGGUCAAAAGAAAAUUUGGAAUCUAGUGAUAUUAUGAAUGCUUUUUUAUUCGGAAUUUUAUGCAUGCAUCUCUUGCUAUUUGUGCAUGCUUUUGUGUGUGUGUGUACAUUUGUGCUCAUUUCCCUAUUUUGCAUCUUUAACUUCCGAUACAGGCUGUAUGAGGGUUGUCAAAGAAAAUCUUAACUGGGGAACUAAAUCAGAGCUCAAAGCAAAGGUUCUUCGAGGGAUUAAAGAGAUUGGCAGUGUGUUAUAUUGGAUGGGGCUUCUUGACAUUGUAUUGGUCAGUAUCCUAGUUUCUUCAUUUCAUGAUAUUAGUUUGAGAACAUGUCUAGACGUACUUAUGCAUGCUCUAAACUGUAGCUUUGUGUCUGGUAGAUUCAUAUUUCUACAAGUUUGCUAUUCGAUCCCUUAGAACAAGAAUGCCCAAUUAUACGAGUACUUUGAAGAGCCUUGGGGCACUUUUAGAUCAACAGGGAUAGCAGGAGUAUCGUACUAUCUCUCUUUAUAGAGAAAUAGUUGUGUAGACGUACUCUACCAACUCAUCAUAGACAAGGCUAAUAAAGACAAGACAUAUAGACAAAAUCACAUAUCAUCAUGUGGGACCAUUGGACUUUCUAGCUAUUUGUCUUGUCUUUAUUGGCCAAGUCUAUAGCGGAGCUGGUCGACUUUGUCUUCGCUACUUUAAAUGUUCAAAUCCUAAUGGGAUAAAUGCUGGGUAGACAAAAACAGCAAGCAAAUAUUGAAGAAUUUUGCGUUCUACCAAUUAGCUGUGAGACUCUGCCAUGUUUAGUUAGUGGUGGAUCAUUGUCAUGUGUUAAGAAGGCUGAAAUUGGUUUUGGUUUCGAUUCCUCUUGAUAGAGGUCUGCCUCUCUUUAAAUAGCUAGAAUUCUCCCUAUUUACAGCCUAAUGAUUAUAAUUACAUGCGUGAUUUCCUCUAUCAAAUCAUUCAAAAUCCGUAACAUUACUCUACCAACCACAAAGAUCCCGUAAAUAUAAACUAUUGCUAUAUACAGAAUAUGGCCUAAUUUGGUAAUACCCCCCCUCAAAUUAAUGUUGGUCGAUCAAGAAGCAUCAAUUUAUCAAUCAUGAAUUUAUGGCGGUGACGGGAGAUGGCCUUGGUAAAGAUGUCAGCAGUUUGAUGUUCGGUGGAAAUGCGAGGAAGAGUAAUCUCUUGGCGUGCAAGUGCUUCAUGAAUGGAAUGACAAUCCACUUAAAAAUGCUUGGUGCGCUUAUAAAAAACUAGAUUGGCAACAAUUUGAAUAGCAUCAGUGUUAUCUGCAUAAAGAGUAAGCUGCGGAACACCAAGUUCGCCCAAUAGCCCUCAAAAUCAUGUGAUUUCAGAAUAGGCAGAUGACAUGGCUCUAUAUUCAGACUCGGUAGAUGAGUUUGAGACACAUGCUUGAUUUUUACUCAUCUAAGAACUAAGAGUGCUGCCAAGAAACAUGCACCAACCCGAAACAAAAUGACGAGUAUUUGGACAACCGACCUAAUCAGCAUCACUGUAGGCCUCCAAUUGUAAAGAAGUCCCUGAAGAAAAGAAUAAACCACUACCAAGCAUCCCUUUGAGAUAUCGAAGGAGGUGACAGACAACGGCUAAGUGGGUUUGGCAAAAAGCUUGCAUAAACUGAUUGACCUGUUGUACAACAAACAAGAUAUUAAGUCGGGUAAUAGUCAAAUAAUUCAAACUUCUGACCAGCUAUCAAUAUAUGGAGGGAUCAGGCAAGAGAUCCCCACUCAUGAUGUAGUUUCAAGUUGACCUCCAUAGGUGUAAGAACUGAUUUAGUGUCUGAAAGACCAGCUAGGGAAAGAAGCUUCUGGGUAUACUUAUGUUGAUACAAAAGUACGCUAGUUGGGCAAUGCUGGACCUCAAGACUAAGAAAAUACUGAAGCGGACCAAGAUCUUUCAUAUGAAAUGAAGAUUGGAGUCGUUGCUGAAGUUGUUCAAUCAACUGGGAAUCAGAUCCUGUAAUCACAAUAUCAUCGACAUACACAAGAAGUAGAACGAUUCCAAUAUUAGUCUUGCGAAAGUAGAGUAGUCAUAUUGACUCUAUGUGAAGGUGGAAUCCAAAAUAGUAGUAAGAAAUUUCUCAAACCAUGCCUGCAGUGCUUGCUUCAAACCAUACAGAGACCAUUUCAAGUUACAAACCUCAGUAGAAGAGGAAGAAAACAUGCUAGGAGUCAUAUAAUUCUUUUCCUUUAGAUCACCAUGUAGAAAAGCAUUCUUCACAUCCAUCAGAUGAAGCGAUCAUCCUUUCUAGACGAAAAUGGCCAUAGCAGUAUGGAUAGUAGUCAUCUUAGCCACAAGAGCAAAUGUUUUCUUAUAAUCCAGGCCAUAUUUUUGUUGAUUUUUGAGUGCCAACAAACGAGCUUUAUAUCGGUCAAGAGAUCCAUCGGUACCUAGCUUGAUGGUGUAUACCCAUUUGCAUCCAAUAGGUUUUACCCCAGAGGGACAAGGAACGAUGUCCCAAGUAUGAUUAUCGUGAAGAGCUUGAAGUUCGUCUUGCAUAGUCUAUCGUCAACACUCGAGUAGAGGCCUGAGAAUAAGACUUAGGCAUAUAAAUAAUAUCAAUAGUGGCUUGAACAACAGAAUGUGAGAACCCAUACCUAUUCGGAGGUUGUAAAACCCGAGUUGACCAUCGAGGCUCUUGUAAAACAUGAUCAGAUGUUGGUUCAGGAGUAGAAAGAGGCAGUGGGUGAUGUCGUUGAUAAACAAUUCUUGGUUUAAAACGAUCAACAAUUGUAGACACGUCAUUAAAAGAAGGAAGCAACACAGAAGAAGAAACAAAAUUUGCACAAGACGGAAGAAAAUAUUGAUUUUCACAGAAAACCAUAUUUCGUGAAAUGCGAAUCUUGUUAUUAUCCGCAUCAUAACAUACAAAUCCUUUAUGGGAAUUGCUAUAGACAAGAAAAGCACGCUAAACAGCCUAGGCAGCAAGCUUGUGAUGUUCGAUGGUAGGUAAGUGAACAAAGCAAAUACAACCAAAAACAUGAAGAGAAUUAUAGUUAGGAGGGACUCCAAACAAAAAAAAAUAUGGAGGAUCAAGAUUCAAGGUUUGAGAAGGUAGAUGAUUAAUCAAAUAGACGAUUGUAGGUAAAGCUUCCACCCAAAAUCGAGGAGGUACCAAAGAUUCAAGCAAUAAUGUAUGGACAACAUCUAAAAGAUGUUGAUUCUUAUGCUCAACGACUCUAUUUUAUUGAGGAGUAUAAGGACACGUAUGUUGAGAGAUAAUACUUUUCUGUUGUAGGAAGGAUUGAAAGUCACAAGACAUGCAUUCCCCCUCAGAAUCAGAGCAUAAGAUCUUAAUAUUGGCAAAAAAUUGUGUCUCUACAAGAACAACAAAGGUUUGAAAAAUAAAGAACACAUCAGCUUUAGAAUGAAGGAAAUAGACCCAUGUGAAUCUACUAUAGUCAUCAAUAAAUAUUACAAAAUAUCUAUAUUGUGCAUGAGAAAGAACAUGAUUCACACCCAAACAUCAGUAUGAAUAAUUUCAAAACAGGCAGAAGCCCGACUUCCUUGCGUAGGAAAUGAUAAGGAUUUGCUUUUAUCAAGUUUACAAGGAGAACAAUCAAAAGACAAAUGAGAGGAAGAAAACUCAUGUAUAUUAUUCAAAUAGCCACUUUUAACGAGAUGCUUCAAAAUAACAGAAUUAGGAUGUCCUAAUUUCUUAUGCCAAAGAUGACUUGUAUUGGCAAUACCAGAACAACCCAAAUAUACUAAACAAGGCAUAGAAAAAGACUGAAGAGGAAAAAUUCGUCCCACUUUAGGCCUCGUCACUACCACUUGGCCCAAUGCUUGAUCUUGCACGCAACAACCACAAUGGUCAAAAUGAAAGGAAUAAUCAUUUUCUACCAAUUGGCCAACAAAGAUUAAAUUGGCAAGCCAGGAUACCCAAAAACAUCGGUGAAGGUAGACCCUAGAUUGUCAAUGGCAGUAAUAGGAAUAGUACGACCAUCAGCUAUUUUAAUAUUCUACUCACCAUCAUACUUACGAACAUCCUAUAGUGCUUUGAAAUUGCCAGUCAUGUGAUUGAAAGCCGCAGAGUCAAUUAACGAAGAAGAGAGGAGUAGCUUUGUCUUACCUUGAAGUCCAAGAGCAAAGAGUAGAAACUAUCAUCUGUUGGACAUGCUCCGGUGUAAGAGUAGAAGAAGACCCCGUGACAGCUGGUUGAUUUAAAGGCGUAGUCACAAGGUUGGACUGGACAACAAUAUGCAAGGCAUGGGCAGAUCGAUUUUGAGGUCGUAUGCGAUAGUCCUUAAUAAUGUGACCUUUUUUUUUUUUGCAGUAAUUGCAGAACUUCUUGUUGCAAUUCUUUGCUAUGUGCCCAAACUCCUUGCAAUUGUAGCAUUGUGGCAGGGAUUUGGAUCCACCUUUGCCUUGAGCUGCAUAGGCCAUGUUGACUAUCUUAGUAAUGACAGUGUCUUGGGCAAUGCCAUGUUGUGAGGCAAGAUGUUGUUCCUCACGCAGAAGCUCUCCCAGGCACUCAUCCAAGGUUGGAAUAGGUUUGCGGUCAAUCAGCCCAGCACGUACACUCUCAAAUUUUGGGUGAAGCUUCAUUAAGAUUUGGUCUCGUCGGCUCUCGGAAUGGAUCGCUUGUUCUGCCCCCAAUGCUUCCUUCGGAACCUUAGACUGCACCAACCUAGAAUAAGCACUCCACUAGAUUAGGAAACCCAGAUAAUAUUGCUCAGUUGACUAAUUCCCUAGGCAAUAAUUUCCAAUGUCUAACUCUAAUUUGGAACUUUCGAGCAGAGUUAUCUUAAUGAUACAUCCGCCGAAGUGAAUCUCACAUUUCCUUAGCAGUAUUAAAGGAACAAAGAUUGUUGACCAUAAGAGGUUCAAUAGAACUCAACAACCAUGAAACAACCUUGCUUUCCCAAGAACCAAGUUCUUUGGGAUCAGUUGGAACUGUAAAGGACCCAUCCAAAUGAUUCCAUAAUUCUUUUCCUUUGACAAACAUCUGAUAGUGAAAUUCCCAAGAAGUGUAAUUCUUGUCAUUCAUGCGAACAAUGGAAAUUUUCUCUUCUAGCAUGACUAAGAAAACACAACAGCUCCAAAAAAAUAGACAAGCCUAAUGAAGACACUAAUGCCACAAAAUAAGAUGCUGAUACAAAUCAGCCUAAGCCAAAGAAUAUCCCAAGCUAAAAAAAAAAAGAAUUGAAUCAGCCCACAAACCAAGAUGAGAAUUUCUUACAACUCCAUAAACUUAAGCUAAGAGCUCUGAUACCAUGUUAAGAAGGCUGAAAUUGGUUUUAGUUUUGAUUCCUCUCAAUGGAAGUCUGUCUCUCUUUAAAUAGUUAGAAUUCUCCCUAUUUACAGCCUAAUGAUUAUAAUUACAUGCAUGAUUUCCUUUAUCAAAUCAUUCAAAAUUCAUAAAAUUGCUCCUCCAACCACAUAAAUCCCUAACAUUGCUCCACCAACCACAAAGAUCCUGUAAAUAUAAACUAUUGCCAUAUACAGAAUAUGGCCUAAUCUGGUGACAUCAUGUUCAUCUUAGAUCAGAGCUCUGAAUGUGUGCUUGAUCUACUCUACUUAAAAGUCAUUGAACCAAUCACUCAAUGCCAGAUGCCCAAAUCUCUUUUCACCAUCUAUCUUCAUUAUUGGUCAUAUUUGUUUCUCUUGUUAUAUUGUUGGGAAUGAUGUCCUAGUGGGUGUUAAUAUUUAUGUCCUGUUUUGUUGUUGUAAAUGAUGUGCAAGCGGAUCCAAUUCUUAUUUGUUGAACCAAUGUAGUAAUCAACGUUGUUGUAUGUUUAGAUCAUAGAUCAAUCUUAUUAAUGGAGUAAAACAAUUAUUGUUCAUGCAUUUAGUCACAUGAAACAUUUUCUUAUAAUAAUACAUCACAGGGCCUGUAAUCUAUCUCUAUUUUAUCUGUAAAAUCACAUAUGGAAUGUAACAUUUGGUUGAGUAAAUGACUGUUAAUGAAAAUAAAGAUGAGCAUUAGAAAAUAAUGAAAAACAAAAUCUGAACUAGGUUUUUCAUUUACAUUAAUUUGGCAAGGCAAAAGGCUUGCCUGGCAGGCUAAUUAACCUGAUUCUGUAUGCCACAAUAUAUUGUUUAGUCUGCAAAACAUUAACAUGGCUCAUCUAGUUGACUUCUGUUAUGAUUGGGAACCAAUGUUUCAUACUGCCUCUUAUAGUUGUUUUACAUGAUUGACAGAGGGAAGUUGAUACCAUGCAUUUCAUGCAAACUGCCCCUUGGUUGGGCUUGUUUCCUGGCGCAGAUGGCCAAAUAUUGCAUUCACAGGAUGGUGGGGAUAGUCCUGUUGUCAAUCUUUUCAAAUCAGCCACUGCUGCAAUAGUGUCUAACCCUGGUUGUCCAAAUCCAACAUCUUUUUAUACCAUGUCAAAACAGGCAGAAGCUGCAGGUGCAUAAUUCAUUUCUCUUCAGAUGGCUUUUUGCUGUUUGGUUGACCACCUUUAUAGAAGCAAAAACAUAUGCCAGUUCUUUUGUAAUAACAGUAGUUAGUCACCCUAUUUUGAUGCCUGUUAUUACAUUCAAGUUUUGUUCCCUUGGUUUCCUUAAUUUUUAAUUUUAUGGUCUGGUGUCUUCAUUUUGUUGCAGAUCUUCUUUACAAAGCUAGCAUGAAUACUGGAAGUGUGCUGGAAUAUGCCCUUGCUUUUACCAGUGCUGCAUUGGAUAAAUAUUGCAGUAAAUGGAGUGCUGCUCCCAAGACAGGCUUCAUUGACAUAACAACCUCAAAGGACUUUUACCGUAUAUAUAGUGGCCUUCAAAUUGUAAGGAAUGACCUUCUACAGUUUAUUUUUAUAAUAACUUCACACUUGGGUAAUAUAUCUGAACCAUAAUCAUCUUCAGUUUUAUCAGUUGAGGUAUUAGUUCAUAUUCUAGACUAAGAGUAAAUCUAUCUGUUAGUUGAUACAUAACUUUUCUCAACAGCCAUCUCCGUAGUGCUGCGGGUUGUACUUCUCAUUAAUAUGUAUUUUUGGGCCAAAAAUUUCACACAUGAACUAUUUUAUUUAUUACUAAAAUCUUAGACAACUAUUGUCAUUCUCAGAUUCUGCAAAAUGACAAUCAUAAUGACAAGCUUUUUACCAUUCUGAAAUUAAUAAUGUCUUUUAAAAUGUUUAUUCAUGCUGUUUUUCAUUAUUGUAUUGUUAAUUCAUGUUUCAUAGCCUGAUUUAAUCAGAAAAUAAUCUUUCUGAUUUUUCAUUUAAAUCUUGAUUUGACAACCAUGCUGAUGAGGUACUAAUUCCCAGACAUGUGAUACCUCCUGAUGAGCAGCCACAAUGAUGUUGUGGUAUGGGGUGGUGCUGUGGUCUGGGGGCGGGUGUUACAAUCCAGGUCAAGGCUAAGAACUGCACACAUCAUAGUACUCAUUCAAUCCCGUGGGAUUAAGAGAACCAUUUUGAGUGGAACAUUCUCCUUGCCAGUAAUAGCCGUAAAUUUGCAGCCUUGAUAUCUGGAGGUUACUACAGUUGUGAUAAAAAACUGUUAGUUGGGCAUGUGGACCAAUGGUUCAAUUAAGAAAUCAUUUAAUAGUAAAUUGUGAUCAAUAUGUAUAAAUUCUUGCAUUAACAUAAUUGACUACUCCUUUGGAAGAAUGAUGAACCUUUAGGUUUACCUCUUGUUUAGCCACAGAAGUGAUAUCUUUUCUUUCUGCUAAUUUGUUUUAAUACUUGAAUUGUAGGGACACCUGGAGGAUUCUGUUCAAGUAUCAUCGAAUAAUUUUGAAGUCUUGGGUGACUCAGUUGCAUGGGGUGGCUGUACCAUAAUCUACUUGCUUGGACAGCAGAUGCAUUUUGAACUCUUUGAUUUUUCAUAUCAAGUCCUCAAUAUUGCAGAAGUGGAGGCUGGAUUGCUUAGCCAAGCACAUAAGAAUCCUCAUGCUGCCCAGGUAUUGAAAUUUACGUCCAUACUUGAAAUUGUCUGCGUUCAUGAGUAAUAUGCCUGUCUAUAGAAAAUCAUUGCUAUAUAUUUAAAAUAUUUUCUUCUGCUGGACUUGAACACAAAUUCCUUAAUUGAUGGAUUACCAUCUGCCAGUUGUGCUAUAACUGAUUCUGUGUAUAAAAAUUGUUCAUUUAGUUCUUUCUUUUCUUUCUGCUCAUACUCGUUAUCAUGUAAGAUUUUACUCAUUAUGUAGGAUUAAAACAAAUGAUUCCAGUUCAUCAUGUUUUACCAUUUAUUUUGCUGUGCUCUAGGUCAUUAUGGUGCUUUUCUCAAAGAACUGGACAUUUUCUAAAUGGCGUCAAUUUCUUCUCUCUGCUUUUCAUUAAAUGUAAUUUGGGACGUGCAGUCCUGUUGAGCCUUGAGUCCACAUACCAACUUUGCUUGCUAGCAUUUACACGGCUCAGAAUCUAGGUUGCAAUUCAUGUUUUAGGGUUUUGCCCAGCUAAUCUGACCAUCAGUCGACCCAUGCCCUUUUGCAGUUUGAAUUUGUUAGCCAUCCAAUUGUUCUGGCGUACAUGAUUUGCCUGAUCACUAGCAUGAUGUUCUCACCUGGACAAUCUUAUUCAUAGUGAUAUUCACAUUCAACGAGUCAUAAUUCUUGAUUGCAUUGAGUGGACUAAUACCCUGAAUCAAAACUAAGCUCUAUAUCAAUAAAUCUAUUACAAAGUACAGAAAAUAUGAUGCUUCAUAAUCUGUAACCAUAGAACUAGUAUAUACAAUUACUCUUAUGUUUUCUUCACUCCAAAGAAAGAACUGUAACUUGUAAAAUCAAUUUAAAGCUUUGACUGCACUUACAACCAAGUACAACGGAAACAGUGGGUUGAUUCACAUGCUUUUAGCCUGUUAACAUUUUUCAUGUUUUGAUUGAUUAGUCCUUGCUUUUAGCCUGUUGACAUUCUUCUUUUGCUAAGGGAUGGGAAACCCUAUUAGAAGCCAUGAAGAAAGCAAGAAGGUUGAACAAUCAUGUUUUCUCGAUGCUGAAAGCCCGUUGCCCCCUUGAAGACAAGAUAGCGUGUGCUAUCAAGCAAAGUGGUGCUCCUCUGCAUCGGAUUAAGUUCGAGAACACUGUUUCAGCAUUUGAAACAUUGCCUCAAAAAGGUGCCUGAAUGAGCCCUGCAAUCCCCCUUCCACUUCUAUUGUUUUUUGUCUCAUCUGGUAAUAUCUAUGCAUUUAGUGUCGUCAAGUUGUAGUUUUAUUACCAUUAUCAUUAUUGAUUGUCAAAUUGUAGUUGGUAAUGUGUUCCCUGACAUGAACUCAGACAGACUGGAUUCAAUUUGUAUAUUACGUACAAACAUACAGGGGAUUUAUCUCCCUUUUUGUUUUUUAAUGGACAUCAGUCUUGAAUGCAAAUGAGAAAGCAUUGACCUUUCAUUCUUGAGGUUUAUUGGGUUUUUUUAAAAAAAAAAAAAACAAUUUUUCUAGAAAAAAAUAAUAACCAUUUUUUUCUCUUGAGCACAAAAAAACCCAACAUGAUAGCGACUCGGAGACCUUUUGAUAUUGUUGAUUGUUUUUGUUUUUUGUCUAAUAAAAAAAAAUCAUUUAGUUAGUUUAAUAGUAUUUGUUUUUUGCACUAGAUUUUAUAUACAAUUGUGUUAUAAAUCCGGUUUUGUAAAAGAUAAAAUGGCAUAAUAGUUUUAUCUAAAUAUAUAUUUUUUAAAUCACAAUUAAAAAUAUUUUUUAAAAUUUGAAAUUUUUUUAAUUAUAAAUAUAAAAACUACUGGAAUAUCAAACAGUUAUUAUUAUUAUUAUUAUUAGUAUUAGAGAACCUUAACUAAUAUCACUACUACGGCUGGCAAAUAGUAAAGAAAAAAUCAACUUGGAAUUAUAUUCUGAAAAUUGACUUGUGUUUCAACAACUUUGCCACCUUGAGUCCAUUAAAAAAACUAAGGAAAAUAAAAUAAUGCAAGUUUGCAAUUAUUGAUUUUCAAGUAGCUCAUACACGCAAGGGAUAUUCAGACGGUUCAACCUAGUCUUAUUUUCGUAAUCCUUCAAGUGGAAUAAUGCUGAAUAUUAAGAUAAUGUGAUGGAAUAAAUAUGUACCAUUCGAUUAGUAAUAUCUACAAGUUGGUUUCACUUUCAAAUCAUAAUUCUGUAGUUCAUGUGUAUUCUCGGAGUGUUUUUUUUUUUUUUUCCUGUCAUGUUUUCUAGAUAUUUAAUGUACUCUUAUGUGUGUAUGCUUAUAAUGAUGAAAACUUUAUUUCUUAAAGUUAAAAGAGAGGAUUAAUGAGGCUGGUGGAAGCUAAUAUUAGAAUAGUAACACAAAAAAAUACAAAUUUUAAUAAAUAAAAAGGAUUGCAUAUUUGAAUAUUAAAUUUGUUGUUUUAUUCUCUAAAAAAUAAAUAUAUGGUGGUUGUCUCAUCAAGAUAUUUACAAUAUUUUUAAAUGAGUGAUAAAACUCUACAUUUAUCGGUAAACAACUUAAAAUUCGAAAAGCACAAAGAAAAUUAAAAAAAAAUCUAAAAUAAGAUAUAAAUCCAAAAAAAAAUUUAAGUUGCUAACCUAGUACCUCCUCUUAGGUUUAGACGCUAGAUCUCAUCUUGGAUCUAGACAUGUCCCACUAGUCUAUAAAAACAUCUAUUGAGUUAUGUUAUCCACAUAGCCUGUUUAAGUCAAAUCUAUAUCUAGUUAUGUAAAAUCUUCACCUAAAUGCUCAUAACCUUUUAUUUCUACAAACUCCACUACAUCAUUAAAAAAGUUUUGUGUCAUCAUAAACUUCACUGUUUAUUAUUCACAAAGUCACAGGUUCUUGCCUCUACAUAAAUUGAAAGAAGUCAAGGAAAAAAAAGGUUUUUUUUUUUCCUACGAUAGAGAAGAAGAAAAGAGUUGGUUCGAUAGAGCAAGAUGAGAGCUUACUUUCUAUGAUUUACAUCAUAAUUAACAAAUAACACUCCUAAAAAGAGGUAAGAAAAAUGAGAAACUUUAUACUUAUUAUAUUGCCUUAACGAGUAGUCAAAGGGACGUAUGAAAUAUCUCCUUCAAAGAGUCAUUAAAGAGUUAAGAGUUUUACUGCUUGAAAACUUUAUAAUUGGUAAAAGGAUACCCAAGAACUCUUAUUAGAAUAUGAGUUUUAGCAUGUCUAUAGAUAUAUGUUUGUGAUUAGCAUUAAGUCACAAUUUAAAGGAAAAUAGACCAGGCUAAGAAAUCUAUUCCUACUUCUCUCUAUUAUUGAGAGAAAAUAGUUUUUUAGAUUUUGCACAUAGAGCAACAACAUAAUUAUUGCUUAAAGGCAAGAAAUGCUACCAUUAUGAAUUCAAGUAUGUUUUUCUUAAUCAAUUGCUUUUGCUAUAUUUAUUGAAUGUGAAAAGCAUGAUAGUUAAAGAUAUAGAAUUACAUAUUAAACUAAAUUAAAUUUUACAUUGUGGUAUUAAAGUCAGGUUGAAACUUUCAUGUUUGUCUAUUCAAAUGUUUUUGUAAUCCUAAUUUUAUGAAUUAAAAUUUUAUUUUAGUUAUUUUAUUUGAUUAUUAAGUUUAUCAUUAGAAUAAUAAAAAAAUAAAUAGUAGUGCUUGAAUUUAUAUGUCUCUUUGUCCAAUAGUUAAAGAUGAAAAUUUUAAUUGCAAAACUUUUCUUAAACUCCCGCACAUUGAUUUGGUAAAUUAAAUAAGAGAAUUGAGAUUCAAUGAUUGAGAAGUGGAAUUUGGAAAUUAAAAAAAAAAUAUUUGAGGAGGCAAAGAUUCAAACUUGUGUGUAUAAGUUUUAAUUGAAAUGUGUUAGGAUAUGUUCUUACUAGUAGGCUGCUUCCUAGUUUCUAUCAAAGAAUGUAUGUAUCAUAGAACCACUUGAAAGUUAAUUAAAGGGCUUUUGAAAUUUGAAGCUAUGACCUUUAAAGCUUAUGUAUGUAUUAUAACAUUGCUUGAAGUUAUUAAAACUUGAACCCAUGACUUUCUCAUGAACAAGUAAAUGACUCACCACUUGGUUACAACUUGAAUAUUGAAUGAAUAUGCAGACAUAACAAUAUCAUAUGCUAGGAUAAUAAUAAUAAUAAUAAUAAUAAUAAUAAUAAUAUUAUUAUUAUUAUUAUUGGCAAAUUUUUCUUUUAAAAAAAAUAAUCUAAGAUGAUGAUUUUAACAAUUUUUUUAUGAUGUGGUGUCUCAUAAUUCAAGCUAUAAGUUAAUUUUUAAUCUAUUGUUUUAGGAAUAUUGCAUACAUGGUUGUCAUAUUAUUUCAGCAAAUUCUUUAUUGAUCAGAGAAAUUUUAUGUUUAUGGUUACUGAUGGUAAUUUUUGGGAAUUCUAGAAUUAAGUUUAUCUGUGAGUUAUGAUAAUUGUGCUUAUUGUUUUAUGAUUUCAUUACAACUUUCUGGAAUUUUAAUUAAACACAAUGAAUACAUAUUUAAAAAUUUCUUUGGAAUUGACUUCUAGUGUUCUAGGCAUAUUAGGUAUAAAGGAAUAGAAAGCAUAAGGGCCAAAGAAAAAAAAAUUAUUUGGGUUGGUCUUAAUUUUGAGUCAGAAUAAAUUAAUUAGAUUUGGGUUUAUUUUAAGGUUGUAUGAUUUAUAAACUUGGGCCAAAUUAAAAUAGGUCUAGGAUUAGAUAGAAACUCAAUUGGUUAAUUGAAAUUUUGGUUUGGCUAAUCUUUUAUAUAAGUUAUUAUGCUUAAGGUUUAGGGCUAAUAAUAAUUAGUGAAUGGGCCUAAUAAAACUAAAUUGGGCUAUAAUUAAAAACCAUACAAAAAUGGGUCUUAAAAAAAAUAAUCAAUCUCAUUACAUUUUGGGCAAACUCAAAUUAAUUAGGUUUUGGCUUGGUUAAAACCUAUAGAAUUUAGAUUGGGCAAAGAAAAACGUAAUAAAAGCCUAAACCUAUAAGAUAUGGUUAAUUUUGGGUCUAAUUAUUAAAUCCAAUCAUUACAUAGACUUAGGCUGGUAUAAAAACCUAAACCCAUAAGAUAAAUAAAUAGAUUUAAAUUGUAAUAAUACAUUUAAAAAAACAUAAUUGUUAUUAAAAAUAGCCAUAACAUCUUAAUGACACUAGAUGUUUAAUAAAGUUUUAAAAUAAUCACAAUUAACAAUUUUAUACAAUAAUGCACCUCUACCCACAAAAAAAUUUAGAUUUACCUAUUAGAUAUAUGUGAUUAAAGAAGUAAAUCUUAUGCAUAGAAUACAUCUCUACCUACAAAAAGGUUUAGAUUUUGCUUUUAAUACGAUUAUAGUUUUUCAUAUUAUUAUGUUAUCUCUAAAUGUUAUUUAAAUUCUUGUUUAUUGCAGUUGAUGUUAAUAAUUUUAUGAACAAUGAUUCUCGUAUUGCUUUUCUGAAUGGGGAGAAUUUUUUAGAAUGGAAAGUCAAUCAUUUUAAUAUUAGGGUGAUCGAUCUAGACCUUAUCUUCAUGUAGAUGAACCACAUAUGCCAACGGAAUCAAGUUCCACUAUAAAUAGAAUGACAUAUGAAAGGUAGGAACGAUCUAACUAUUUAAGUACGAUGCUCAUAAAGGCCUAUAUUGACAAGAUUAUUAGAGGCUUAAAUCCCGAAUGUAAUAAGGUUAAGGACUACAUGACAGCUAUUGAAGAGCAAUUUGUUAGUUCUGAUAAAGCAUUGGCUAACACCCUUAUUGAUAAAUUGUCUAUGAUAAAACAUCACAAAUCAAGAAGUGUGUAUGGACACAUAAUGGAAAUGAGAGAUGUUGUUGCUCACCUUAAGUCUCUAAAAGUUGACAUUUUUUAAUCCUUCCUUAUCUAUUUGAUACUCAACACUUUUUUUUUACAGAGUAUGGACCAUUCAAGAUUUCUUAUAACAUACAUUAAGAGAAAUGGUAUGUUAAUGAUCUUUUAACCAUGUAUGUACAAGAAUAGGAGAUGAUGAAACAUGAAAAUCAUGAGAGUGCUAACUAUGUCACUUAUAAAAUGAAGAAAAGAUAGAAUACAUAAAAACAAGUUAACAAUGCACAAUGAAAGAAGAAGAGAAAAGUGCUUUUCAAAUGACCUAAACAUAUUGGAUCAAGCAAUUUAGUGGCUUGCUUCUUCUGUAAAAAAAAAGGGACACAUGAUGAAAGAUUACCCAAAAUACAAACAAUGGCUUAAAGAAAAGGUGAUUAUAUUAUCCUUAUGUGUUAUGAAUCUAAUUUCAUAGACUCUAAAAAAAAAUACUUGUUGAUUGAUUCAUGUACUACAAUUGACGUUAUCAAUAUUAUGCAGGGCUUUCUAAAUCUAAAGAGCCCGAUAGGAAGUGAAGAAGGCUUUAGGAAUGGGAUGCAUUUACAUAUUGAGGUUGUGGGGACUUGUAAACUUGUUUUAGAAAAUGGCUAUGUUUUGGAUUUAGAAAACACUUUUUAUUAUUUCUCAUAAUAAAUUUAGCAUAGGUUUUUGGUAUUUUUUUAAUGGAUUAUAUAAACUUAAAUUAAAUCCAACCUAUGAAAAAAGUCUCAUAACCUUGCAUAAAGGAAUUGGUACUAAGCGUACCAUUGUUGAUGAGUCCUUCUCUACCUUAUGACAGAAAAGAUUAGGACAUAUCUCUAUUAAGAGAAUUAAAAGAUUAGUCAAUGAAGGAUUCCUUGAAACUCUUGACCUUUGUAACUUUGUUACUUAUGUGGAUUACAUAAAAGGAAAGCCAACCAACAAGACCAAUAAAUGUGCCAAAAAAAGUAGCAAAGUUCUUAAGAUCACACACAUUGAUAUUUGUGGUCCAUUUAGUGCCUAUUGUCUAAAUUAUCAUAGAUAUUUUAUCUCAUUCAUUGAUAAUCAUACUAGAUACAUGUAUCUCUACCUUUUAUUUAGUAAAAGUAGGACAUUAGAUGCCAUUAAGACCUAUAAAAAAGAAAUAAAGAGACAACUUAGAAAAAAGAUAAAUAUAUUAAGAUCUUAUAAAGAUAGUGAAUAUUAUGGAAGAUACAUAGAAUUUGAAAAAAGAAAAGGGUUUAUUUGCAAACUACUUGGAAGAAAAGGGUAUCAUUUCAUAAUAUACCAUGCCAGGAAUACCUUACCAGAAUAGUGCUGCUGAAAGGAAAAACCAUACAUUUAUGAAUAUGAUUAGGAGUAUGUUAGGAAGCAAUGAACUACCCUUAUUUUUGUGGAGUAAAACCUUAAAGACAAUAAUGUAUAUACAUGCAUAGAAGAAUCAUUACUAUUGGAUGAAAAAAAAAUAUUUCUUCUUCGUAAUUGUAAUCAUUGUUUUUUUCUAUAUGAAUAUUUAUUUAUAUAUUCAUGUGAUUAAAUAAAAACAUAUUAUAAGAAAUUCUUUAUGGCAGUGUGCAUGCAAUAUACUAUUUGGAUAAAUUUGAAAUGAGUAGAAUUAAAGAAACAUACCAAAGAAAAUCAUGGGAAGAAGUGAUGCAUCCCUAUUAUUAAAAUUAUUUGGUAUUGUAGUGUAUAAUAUUUUUGUUUGAAAAAAUAUCAAAAUAAUUAUUUUUUAUAUAUUUUUUUAAUAUUUAACAUAACAUAUAAAAAUCACAAAAAAACAUUAAAAAACAAAAAAUACAAAACCCUCAAACACUAAAAACUUUAGAAUAUCAUGUCCUUCAGAGGUAUACAACACAUCUAUAUCAAAGGUAACAUUUGGUAUGGGUAUGUUUGAGAGUGUGGUUGCUUUUCAUGCCGAAAUACAUCAAAAUGAUGUUUUUUUAUUUUUUUUUAAAUUAUUUUUUAAAUCAACGCAUCAAAAUAAUUUAAAAUAUUAAAAAUAAAAUUAAUUUUUAGUAAAAAAAAACAUUUCCAAACACUCUCUUCUUCGUAUCACCUGCAACCAAAUAUUUAUUUGAUGAAAACUUAUAAAUAAUAGGGCCGCUUAAACACAAAAAUUAUACCUAAAAAUCUUACCAAUUCAUAUGUAAUUUAAUACAAUGAUUUUAUCUCAGCUACUAGAUAUUCUUAUACAUAACUUUUUUUUGUGAAGGGAUUUCUUUCAAUUUAAAAUUUAGAUUUAAAAACAGUGGGAGCACGAAAUUGGAUAAAAAAAUAGUGAAAAAAGUAGAUCGGGUCAACAAACAUGGGAGAGGGUUUGAUUGAAAAGAAAAAUAACUCAAUAAAAAAUAAUUAAAAAAAAAGAAUGAGGAAAAAACUAAACAAAAAUAACACAACAUAAACCUGGAUUGAAAAGUGGAAUAAAAAACCAAUAAAACUUUUAUAAAAGAGUUAAGACAAAUAAAAAAAAAUACAAAGAAUAAGGACCAAAUUAAAAAAAAAUACAUGAAAAAUUGAAAUUGAAUAACUAAAUAAAAAAGGAAUAACACUUAUUCAAAAGGACAAUGGAUAAAAAAAAUUACAAGAAAAAAGACAAAAAAUUUUGUUGGGAGGGUUAAAUUGAAGAAAAAUAUAACUAAUAUAUCAGAACAUAUCAUUCCAAGAUUUUUUUGAUUAUUAUCAUUAUCACUAUCACAAUUAUUAUUAUUAUUACUAUCAUCACCACACUUAUUGUUAUCACAACCAUUAUUAUUGUUGUUAUUGUUACUACUAUCAUAAUCAUCACUAUUAUUAAUAUUAUUAUCACAACCAUCACUAUUAUUAUCAUUAUUACUAAUAUCAUUACCUUUACCGUUACUAAUAUUAUUAUUCUUAUUAUUAUCGUUAUUAUUUCUCCAACUACUAUUGUAAUUACCAUUAUUAUUAUUAUUAUUACCACCACCACCACCACCACCAUUAUUGUUAUUAUUAUUGCUCCAAUCACUACUGUAAUUACCAUUAUUAAUAUUAUUAUUAUUACUGAAAUAAAAAAAAUCUAUAAACUUAUUUUGAAUGAUAAAAUUACCAAUAUUAUUAUUUAUUACUAUUAUUGUCACUAUUACUAUUAGUAGUAUUAUUACUACUAUCAUUAUUGUUGUUGUCAUUACCAUCAUUAUUAUUGUUGUUGUUGUUAUGAUCACAAUUAUUAAUAUUAUCAUCACAAUCAUUAUUAUCAUUAGCACCGUUACCAUCAUAAUAAACUAUUAUCAUUGCCACUAUUAUUACAACUAUUAUCACUAUUAGUAUCAUUAUUAUUACUAAUAUGAUUAUAACAUCAUCAUCAUCAUCGUUGCUGUUGUUGAAAAAACAAAAGCUAUAAUUUUUUUUUAAAGAUAAAAUUAAAAACCAUAAAAACUUUGAUAAAAGGGCUAAGGUAAAAAACCAAUAAAUCAAAAGAAGGACCAAAUUGAAAUUUAUAUUAUCAUUGAAAAAAAAUCAUAAAAUUAACUUGAAGCAUAAAACUGAAAGCAUAAAAACUAUGACAAAAGAAAAGGAAACAAAAUAAGAAAUCAAAAGUAUAAGGACUAAACCAAAAAAUAUUAUUUACAUGUAAAUUUGAAUUGAAGGAUUAAAUUGAAAAAUCAUAAAACUUUAACAAAAGGAAAAAUGACAAAAAUAAACAAUCAAAACCAAAAGGAUUGAACCUGAAAAGGCAAUAAAAAUAGGGACCAUGGUGCAUCUCUCUAUGUAGGAGAGAGAAUGAAAGGGGAGAAAAAAAAAAGGACCACCAGCCAUAAACCAACCACCUUUAUAUGACACGCGCCAACAAUAAAAAAAAAGUACACGAUAUAGCACAAAAUGAGACAUCAGAAAACAAUUUUAUAUAACCAGGGCCAACAACUUUUUGAAUUAAAAAAUAUUAAUUAAAUGUUAAAUUAAUUCAUCACCCUAGACCAACCCCAAUAAUUACAAACAAAAAAACUUGAGGAAAAGACAUCAAUACCCCUAUUUAUAUGGCCUUUUUUUUUAUCCCAAUGACAAUUGUGUUAUUGUAUUGUACAAUUAAAAAGUAAAAAUAUCAAAACAUCCUUGUCUAACAAUGUUAGUUUUUUUAUUAUUAUUCUAGAGGUAUUUUUAUUAUUUUACUAUGCAUUAAAAGAUGAAUCGACAAAAACACUCCAAAACAAAUCAUUAAUGAAAAAUAAACAUUGUUAAAAGACCAAAACACCCCUGAAUCAAAAGCAAUUAAUUUUUCUUGCCAAGAGCAUAGACGUUACUCCGCUAUUAUAGUGAAUAGUAAAGUGUGUCUAUGACUAUAAGAAAUCUCUAAUGUCUUUUAGUAUAUUUGUUAUAUAUUCGUUAGAGAUCUUCUAUUUUUCACAUCUAUCCUAUAAAUGUAUAGAAGAAUCAUUACUAUUGGAUGAAAAAAAAAAUUUCUUCUUCAUAAUUGUAAUCGUUGCUUUCUAGAUGAAUAUUUAUUUUUAUACUCAUAUAAUUAAAUAAAAACAUAUUAUAAUAAAUUCUUUAUGGCAGUGCGCAUGCAAUAUACUAUUUGGAUAAAUUUGAAAUGAGUAGAAUUAAAGAAACAUACCAAAGAAAAUCAUGGGAAAAAGUGAUGCAUCCCUAUUAUUAAAAUUAUUUGGUAUGGUAUUGCAGUGUAUAAUAUUUUUAUUUGAAAAAAUAUUAAAUAAUUAUUUUAAUAUUUUUUUUAAUAUUUAACAUAACAUAUAAAAAUCAUAAAAAAAACAUUAAAAAUAAAAAAUUACGACACCCUCAAACACUAAAAACUUUAGAAUAUCAUGGCCUUCAGAGGUAUACACCACAUCUAUAUCAAAGGUAACAUUUGGAAUACUGACAUUUGAUUAAAAAACAAAACUAUAGUAAAAUUCAAAUAUAAGAUACAAGACUCGAGGGCCUGUUUGAGAGUGUGGUUGCGGUUUCUUUUCAAAGUGUUUUUCAUGCCGGAAUGCGUCAAAAUAAUAUAUUUUUUUAUUUUUUAAAAAUCAUUUCUGAGAUCAUUUGCAUCAAAACACUCCAAAACAUUAAAAGAAUUAAUUUUUAACCAAAAAAAUUAAAAUUUUUAAAAAUACGGAUUGACCCGCGUUCCCAAACGCUCUCGUAUCACCUACAACCAAAUAUUUAUUUGAUGAAAACUUAUAAAUAAUAGGGCUGCUUAAACACAAAAAUUAUACCUAAAAAUCUUACCAAUACAUAUGGGAUUUAAUACAAUGAUUUUAUCUCAGCUACUAGAUAUUCUUAUACAUAACUCUUUUUUCUUGUAAAGGGAUUUCUUUAAAUUUAAUAUUUAGAUUUUUGUUAAUCAAGUGCUAAUUUGUGUUUGAGUUAAUUUUAAUUUUGUUCCAAAUGCAAGGCAUUGAAUCCAUCCAAUGAAAACGGAAUUCUGUGUGAAGUCACAAUGGCAAAAUGGGUGGCGGCAGCACAAUGUCUAGGGUGGGCACAUAAUUCACGAAAGCCAGCAUCUAACUUCAAAAGGAUAAUGAUUAGGGUAGUUUACAACUCAUAUAAUUUUAAAAGUUAUUUGAUUUUUAUUAUUUGAUUUUUAUUAUUUUAACUUAUUUAAUUUUUAUUAUUUACAUUUAUUUUUCAUCUUAAAUUAUAGUAAAAAAUUAGUUUUUUUUAAACUACAAUUUAUAUUUUUUAAACCAUAACAACAAAAAUAUUAUAAUGCAAAACACACUUAUUUUUCUCUCUUUUCUCCUCUAAGAGGGUAUUUGAAAGUGUGGUACUAGUUGUUUUUCAAAGUGCUUUUCAUUUAGAAAUGUAUCAAAAUAAAUAUUUUUUAUUUUUUUAAAAUUUUUUCACAUCAACACAUCAAAAUAAUCUGAAAACACCAAAAAAAAUAUUAAUUUGAAAAAAAAAAUACUUUUAAAACACCAAAAACAAAUAUUACCUACCACCUCUCUUCGAUAAACUUUUUUUCUCAAUUCUUCUUCGUUGAUAAACCUUAAUAGUGCAAAAAAUGUCAACUUUCUUUUUGGGUAUUAGCACAAGACUUUUCUUAAGUGUUUAUAAGGUACCAGCAGCACCCUUGAGGAGGGAAUAGGCCAGAUCAGCAUGACUAUAGACUACCAAAUUUUCUUAUUUUUAAUAUAUAUAUAAAUGGUAAAAUAAUUAUGUGAGAAUGUUAAAGGCAUGAUAACACUGUUACUCUAUAUAUUUUUUUUUAUGGUGUGGUGUGUUAUUUAUUUUGUUUUAAAAAGAAUUAUUCUUAUCUAGUUUCAUACAAAAAAGAAUUCCUAGACUUUCCCCCUUAAUUUCUAAAGUCAGAAAAUGUGGGUGGCUCUUCACUAUUAGAACCACUUUGAGAGGACACGGUUAGCCAUGCUAUGGCCUGUGAAUAAAGAAAUUCGAAACGGUGUUGUGUUGGCCUAAUAUAAAACUUGCAAGAAUUAUAAUACCACAGACAUGACCAAGCUUGGAGGAAAUAUUCAUAAAGCAUAAAAUUAUUAGGAUUGCCACAAGUACCACGACUCAUGAUGUCAGGGAAGACAUCAGCAAUGGCAGAUCCUACAUGGUUAGAAAGAAAAGAAAAGAAAAAAAAACCAUGAGAAAUAAAAUUUACGUCUUGAGUUUGCUUUUUAGAGAUCAUUAGUUUGAUUUUUAUACAUUUUAGAGCUGCUGGAGGCUUAUAUAAUUGUUAAUUUUAGAGCAUGUAGAAUUAGUCGAGAUGCACGCAAGAUAACCCGAACAUCAACAUUAAUAAUAAAAAAAAUAAAAAGAAAACCCAUCCAAUAUACAUAUAAAAUUGUGGGAUUUUUUUUCUUGGAUCAUAGUUGCGAAUGUCGUAUAGAGCUAUCAUGCAUGAUGUUAAGUUGAGGUGAUAGUUAACAUUAAAAAAAUAAUUUAAUUGAUCAUGUUUUGAGUUUAUUCUUUAAUGAUCAUAAGUUUGGAUUUCCUCAAAACCAUUAGAGGAUUACAUGGUCGUUAACUUCAGGCCCGUGAGAUUAGUUGAGAUACGCGCAAGCUGGCCCGAACACCCACAUUAAUAAAAAAAAUUGUGUGAUAAUUUUUGUUUUGGGUGUAUUUUAAAACUGUGUUUUACUUGAAAAAAUAUUAAAUUGAUGAUUUUUUUAGUAUUUUUUAAUGGUUUUGAAGUAUUAAUAAAAAAAAUAUAAAAUAUAUAAAAAUAUUAUUUAAAAAUCUAUAUUUAUUACAAUAUCAAACAUGCAGUCAGAAUAGGCUAAACGAAACCAUUACUAUUUUCAAUGGCAGGUAAAGAAACACCAAUUAGAGAGUUGCCUGUUGAAGUGAAAAUCUGCAUAGAUGCCUACUAAAUGAAGAACUUGGAGACAAAAGUAGUGGCUCGUAGAAAAUUGACAAUGGAUUUGAGAUUAUUGGGUAUCUAAGGUCAAUGUAAUAGAAGGAAAACAACUAAUGUAGGUAGAGAGCUAAAAACAAGUAAAAAGAAUGUUCAAAGUUUAAAAUAAGACAGAAGAGACAAAAAUAAUAAAAAAUAGAAAAAUAUUUUUUUUUUGAAAAUAUAAAAAUCCAUUUAAAAUUAUUUUUAAAACCAAUUUUAUUUUUUUUAAUCUAUCCUCGGAAACUAACUAAAAUUCCAGUGCUAUAGAAUUGGUUAUUUUUGCAUCCCAACCAAUACCAACUAGCGAAUAAUCCAUAGGUACAUCAAAAAGUUUAUUUUAAGCUAAAAAAAGGCAUGCAAACGUGAUUGACUCGUGUUUUUUAAAAAAUAAUUUUUUUUAUUAGAAAUUAUAUUUUUAUAUUUUUGAUCGUUUUAAUGUGUUGAUUUUAAAAAUAAUUUAAAAAAUAAAAAAAAAUUAUUUUAAUAUAUUUAAAAAUAAAAAAAACACUUUAAAAAACAAUCAAAUCACACUUCUAUACAGGCCAAAAGCUUGAAAGCAAACAAGGAAGAAAGAAAGACAAUAUACUUUCAAUUUAGCUUUUUGAACCACUAAAAUAAUGUACAGGUGGAGUGAGAUGAAGAAAGUAUCCUCUCAUGCCUUGUCGGCCAUCUCUCUCGCAUAUACAUAACAGACGGAUGUAUUAUUGAAACCAUGUAGGAAAUAUUUUGUUAAUCAUUGCAUAGAAGACUAAAUAAAUUCUGAACUUUCUGCUAUUAUUCAUGAUAAUAAAAAGAAGUUGACAAUUUGCCAAACAAUUCAUUGCACUUCAAAGACUUCCAACUCAGACUUCAAAAAGAAAGAAGAAACUUCACUGGGACCAUUUAUUUUAUGCUCUCUAUUCUGUACGCGCAAAACUGGAGAUCUUCCUUGUAGGAAACUCUCUGCGAAGUUCAAAAACUCUUCUUCCAGUCCCUGUGUUCUGGGUUUGGUUCCUUCUUCUUGCAGGCCAUUGACCUUAGAGGUAUGUGGCUCUAGAGUCAUUGCUUUCCAUUGACUCUGUUCCUCUUGUGGAGCUUGUAUCUGGGCAGAGCUAAUGUUUUGGUCUUGUCCUCACUAUUUUUUCUUCAUGUGAAUGCGACUCAUUUCUGUUUGGUAGGCAUGGAGAGAAUAUCAUAUAGGCUGCUCCCUGUAUUUGUUCUUGUUGUUUCCCUCUUGUUUCAUCAGUCCAUGGGGCUUAAUGCUGAGGGGCAAUACCUCCUAGAUAUAAAGAGUAGAAUUGGUGACACCUAUAACCAUCUUAGCAACUGGAAUCCUAAUGAUUCCAUUCCUUGUGGGUGGAAAGGUGUGAAUUGCACCAGUGAUUACAAUCCAGUGGUUUGGCGUCUUGAUUUGAGUUCAAUGAAUCUUUCUGGCUCUUUAUCACCAAGUAUAGGUGGAUUGGUUCAUUUGACACUUCUUGAUCUUUCUUUUAAUGCUUUGUCUCAAAAUAUACCUAGUGAAAUCGGAAAUUGUUCGAGUUUGGAGUCUCUUUAUCUGAACAAUAACCUUUUUGAAAGCCAACUCCCUGUGGAAUUAGCUAAGCUUUCUUGUUUGACGGCUUUGAAUGUAGCCAACAAUAGAAUAUCAGGUCCUUUUCCUGAUCAGAUUGGAAACCUUUCCUCUCUGUCACUAUUGAUUGCAUACAGUAAUAACAUCACCGGAUCAUUGCCUGCUUCUCUUGGAAACCUUAAGCAUUUGAGGACUUUUAGGGCAGGGCAGAAUUUGAUAUCCGGAAGCUUACCUUCGGAGAUAGGUGGAUGUGAGAGUUUGGAGUAUCUUGGUCUUGCACAAAAUCAGUUAAGUGGUGAAAUACCAAAAGAAAUUGGAAUGCUCCAGAACUUGACGGCUUUGAUCCUUCGGUCUAAUCAGCUUUCUGGGCCUAUUCCAAUGGAGCUGAGCAAUUGCACCUAUUUGGAGACCCUUGCUCUCUAUGACAACAAACUUGUAGGGCCUAUACCCAAGGAGCUUGGUAAUCUUGUAUAUCUGAAGAGGUUUUACCUCUACAGAAAUAACUUGAACGGGACAAUUCCAAGAGAGAUUGGAAAUCUGUCUUCUGCAUUAGAGAUCGACUUCUCGGAGAAUGAGUUGACUGGAGAGAUACCGAUUGAGCUGAAGAACAUAGCCGGGCUGUCGUUGCUUUAUAUUUUUGAGAACAUGCUUACCGGUGUCAUACCAGAUGAGCUCACAACUUUGGAAAACCUGACAAAGCUUGACAUAUCAAUCAAUAAUCUCACUGGUACUAUUCCUGUGGGUUUCCAGCAUAUGAAGCAGCUGAUCAUGUUGCAGCUCUUCGAUAACUCAUUGAGCGGUGUCAUUCCUCGAGGACUUGGAGUCUACGGCAAACUUUGGGUGGUUGACAUUUCAAAUAACCACUUAACAGGAAGAAUACCGCGCCAUCUUUGCAGAAAUGAAAACCUGAUUUUGCUGAACAUGGGGUCAAACAAUCUCACGGGUUAUAUCCCAACAGGGGUGACAAAUUGCAGGCCGCUGGUUCAACUUCAUCUUGCAGAAAAUGGCCUUGUGGGAAGUUUCCCAUCUGAUUUGUGCAAGUUGGCGAACCUCUCUAGUCUUGAAUUGGAUCAGAACAUGUUCACUGGGCCAAUUCCUCCAGAGAUUGGUCAAUGCCAUGUUCUGCAAAGGCUGCAUCUCUCUGGUAACCAUUUUACUGGUGAAUUGCCAAAAGAGAUUGGCAAACUGUCCCAGCUGGUGUUUUUUAACGUCUCAACAAAUUUUCUCACCGGAGUGAUACCGGCAGAGAUUUUUAACUGCAAGAUGCUUCAACGGCUUGAUCUCACCAGGAAUAAUUUUGUGGGUGCUUUACCAAGUGAGAUAGGAGCCCUUUCCCAACUGGAGAUUCUCAAGCUUUCAGAGAAUCAACUUUCCGAGCACAUACCUGUGGAAGUAGGAAAUUUGUCACGCCUAACUGACUUACAAAUGGGAGGCAACUCAUUUUCUGGUGAGAUACCGGCUGAGUUGGGUGGCAUUUCAAGCUUGCAGAUUGCCCUGAAUCUUAGUUACAACAAUCUCACCGGCGCAAUCCCCGCAGAGCUUGGGAAUCUUGUAUUGCUGGAAUUCCUGCUUCUCAACGACAAUCAUCUGAGUGGUGAAAUCCCAGACGCCUUCGAUAAAUUAUCUAGCUUACUUGGAUGCAACUUCUCAAACAAUGAUUUGACAGGGCCUUUACCUUCCCUGCCAUUAUUCCAAAAGACAGGCAUCAGCAGCUUUCUUGGGAACAAAGGGCUUUGUGGUGGAACUCUUGGAAAUUGUAAUGAAUUUCCACAUUUGUCAUCUCAUCCCCCAGAUACUGAAGGGACAAGUGUUCGUAUAGGAAAAAUAAUUGCUAUUAUUUCUGCAGUCAUUGGUGGGAGUUCUCUCAUUUUAAUUAUAGUGAUUAUAUACUUCAUGAGACGUCCGGUCGCCAUAAUUGCUUCUUUGCCAGAUAAACCAUCCUCUUCUCCAGUUUCAGACAUUUACUUUUCCCCCAAGGAUGGGUUCACUUUCCAGGACUUAGUUGUGGCAACUGACAAUUUCGAUGAUAGCUUCGUUUUAGGGAGGGGAGCCUGUGGAACUGUAUACAAGGCAGUCUUGCGAUGUGGUCGUAUCAUUGCAGUUAAGAGGCUGGCGUCUAACAGGGAGGGAAACAAUAUUGAUAAUAGCUUCCGUGCUGAGAUUCUGACUUUGGGAAAUAUCAGGCAUCGGAAUAUUGUGAAGCUGUAUGGUUUCUGCAAUCACCAGGGCUCCAACCUGCUUCUUUAUGAAUACUUGGCAAGGGGAAGCUUGGGAGAAUUGCUCCAUGGAUCAUCAUGCGGUCUUGAUUGGCGGACAAGAUUCAAGAUUGCCCUUGGAGCUGCUCAAGGUCUUGCUUAUUUGCAUCAUGAUUGCAAGCCUCGGAUAUUUCAUCGUGACAUUAAGUCCAAUAACAUUCUGCUUGAUGAGAAGUUUGAAGCUCAUGUCGGGGACUUUGGGCUCGCAAAGGUGAUUGAUAUGCCACAAUGGAAAUCAAUGUCUGCUGUUGCCGGUUCUUAUGGCUACAUUGCCCCUGGUAAGAUAUCCAAGGUUUUUGUACUCAUGAUGCUUCUGCAUUUUCCAACAUAAAUCUAACUGUUACUUAGCUUUUGCUUGAUAAUCCGUUUCAACCUGUUUUUAAAAAUGUUUUUCAAACUGAUUUUAUCUUAAAAAACAUUAAAUUAAUGCAUGAUUGCCUUAUUUAUCAACAAAUCAAAAGCUUGAGAUCCUACAGAUAUUGAACUUAUGAGUUUCAGGAAAUUUAUGAUCUCUACAAGAACUUUUUUGCCCUCCGAAUAAUUUUUCCUUGAUAUUGUUGAUGAAUAAUUUUGAUCUCAAUGACAGAAUAUGCAUACACCAUGAAAGUCACCGAAAAAUGCGACAUUUAUAGCUACGGAGUAGUCUUACUAGAACUGCUGACCGGCAGAACACCUGUGCAAUCACUAGAUCAAGGCGGCGAUCUUGUGUCCUGGGUAAGAAACUACAUUCAAGUUCAUUCCUUAUCACCUGGAAUGCUUGAUGAUCGAAUCAAUCUGCAAGAUCAGAAUACAAUCCCUCACAUGAUUACUGUCAUGAAAAUUGCUCUAGUCUGCACAAGCAUGUCUCCUCUGGACAGACCAACAAUGCGAGAGGUUGUUUCGAUGCUCAUGGAGUCGAAUAAACUUGAAGGACACUUCGAUUCUUCCUCCUCGUCUUCGCCGAGUCAUCAUUCUAAUUCUAGCGAUGAACUUAUCAUACAUGUGUAAUAAACUAUAGUGUUUUGAUUUUCUUAGUAGCCAAUUUAUCCUUAGUGUAAGUAGCACAAACCGCAUUUUAUAUUCCUAACACCAUGAUAUUGCUCAUCUCCAUUUUGGUUGUCUAGCUAAUGAGCAGUGCCUUCAAAGGCAAAGUAACUUUUGUAGUUCUUAAGUUCAAGAAAGAGUUUUCAGUGACAUCAUAUAUAUAAAAAAAGUGUGCAUUAAUUAAUUAAAUAUUUUUAAAUUUAUUAUUGAGAUAACAUUAAAUAAUAAACUAAAGAGUGUGGAUGAUUCACUGUUUAUUCACUCUCAAUGCAUUGUGAAUUACAACAGUAAUUCACAGUGUAUUUUUUUUUUUUUUCUAACUUUCCUUUUUUUUCAUUUAUUUUUUUAAAAAAAUUAUCUUUGUCGAUUUUACUUUUUUAAUAUUGAGCUGGUUAAAAAUUUCGCUUUGUAAUUUUUUUCUUUUAAAAUACUGUGGAUUACUACGGUGUUUUCCCACAUGGUUUUUCUAUUUUAUUUUUUUAUUUUUCAAAAUUAUUUUUGUUUAUUUUAUUUUUUUAAUAUUGAGCUGAUUGAGAAUUUAGUUUUGUAAUUUUUAAAAAAAACAUUGUUGAUUGCUACAGUGUUUCUCCGCAUGGUUUUUUUUGUUUUUGUUUUUUGAUGAUUUUCUCUGAAAUUAUCUUUUUCAAUUUUAUUUUUUAAUAUUGAGCUGAUUAAAAAUUACAGUUACAAUAUAUGAGAAAAGCAUUGUAACUUUCCUCGCAAAUUACUGUGAAUUGCCAUAGUAUUUUUUUCUAUAUGGUUUUUUUUCAGUUUCUUUUGUGUUUUUUUUUGUAAUAUUGUUUUUUUAAAAAAAUUAUCUUUGUCGAUUUUAUUUUUUUAAUAUUAAGUUGGUUAGAAUUUAACUUUGUAAUAAAGCUUAAUCAUGUGGGGAAAGCAUUGUAACUUUCCUAACAAAACACUGUAGGUUGCUAGAGUGUCUCUCAACAUGGUUUUUUUUUCUUAUGACUUUUUUAAAAUUAUCUUUGUCAAUUUUAUUUUUUUAAUAUUAAGCUGGUUGAGAAUUACAAUUACAAGUCAUUACAAAUAAGGCUAAAUCAUGUGGGGAAGCACUGUAGCUUUCAUUACAAAACAAUGUGAAUUGCUACAGUGUUUCCAACAUGUUUCUUUUUCAUGUUUUUUUUUUGUAUUUUUUCGUUAUUUCUUUUUCUAAAAUUAUCUCUAUCGAUUUUAUUUUUUUAAUAUUGAGCUUAUUGGGAAUUUAGCUUUGUAAUUUGUUUUUUCUUUAAAACACUGUGAAUUGUUGCAGUGUUUUUCCAUAUGAUUUUUUUCAAAAUUAUCUUUGUCGAUUUUUUUUUUUUGAAUAUUAAGUUGGUUAAAAAUUAUAAUUACAAUAAAGCUAAAUCAUAUGGGGAAAGCGUUGUAACUUUUCUCACAAAACACUGUGAAUUGCUACAGUAUUUAUCUAAAUGGUUUAUUUUUAUGAUUUUUUCUAAAAUUAUCUUUGUCAAUUUUAUUGGAGAAAGCACUGUAGUUUUCCUUACAAAACAUUGUCAAUUGAUACAACGUUUUUCCUCAUGGGUUUUUUUCCUUUCAAAAUUAUCUUUGUUGGUUUUUUAAAAAAUAUUAAGUUGGUAGAGAAUUUAAUUUUCUAUUUUUUUUUGCUGUUUAUUAACAAAAAAGCUAAAUCUUGUGGCGAAAACACUGUAUAUUUCCUCACAAAACACUGUGGAUUGCUACAAAUCAUUUUGUUCAGUCUCUAAGUUUUUGAUCACCAACACAACUUUUUUUUCUGUCAUGAAAUAUUGGCUCCAUCAUACCUUUAGUUUUUAUUACUUAUCUAGCGCUGAUUCACAAUUAUAACAUUAUCAAGUAUAUUUGUUUUAUAAACUCGCGGCAGCGCGCUGACAUGCCUUCUCGUGUAGAGCAUAUUAAAUCGCAUAACAAAAAUAAGCACAGCCUAGGAAAUGUUAAGUGAGUAGAAUCCCUCACCUAUUUAUUGCUUAUAUUAUUUGAACCCAAUUCUUGAUAGAGGUAGUUUGAUAUUUCACGUAGCAUAUAGGAAAGAUAAAACUAUGAUUAUAGGCCCUAAAGCUACAGACCAAGUUGUAGAGAAAUCUAAAGAAAAUUCUUUGGUAUUUUAUUGAAUCUAAAUGAUAUUCUUCAUCUCCAUAAAAUAAAUUAAAUAUCUUUAUUUAUAUUAGCAUUAAAAUCCUUUAUAGGAAAUGAUUCCUAAUUAAAAUUUUCUUAACUAAUAGAAUCUAUUUACCAUUAGAAUUUCUAAAUAGUUAAAUACUAGUUAAACUAAAAGUCUUAAGUUAAGUAGGAAACAAAUAAUUAAAAAUAAAAAAUUAACUAGGAAAAUAAUUAAACAAGAAAACAAUAAUUUCAUGCUUCAUAUGAGAUGUUUUCGAGUUUCUUUAUGGAUUUAUAUUUUCAAGUCUGGCUUUGUCAAUUUGAUUCAUAAACUAUUAGGAUAAUUAUUCUACGUUAGUCUCCCUCACUUGAGAAAAACUCGUCCUCGAGUUAACUGUUAGAAAUUAAACUUUUUCACCCUAAAAAAAUAAAUACUUUGAAUUUAAUAUUGUAGCUAACUUAUUCUAUAAAUAACAUGGCUUUGACUUCUGAAAUUUAAUUUUUAAUUUAAGGUGCAUGUGUAAUAAGGAAAAAUCCAUAUUUGAUGUUAUCAUUUUUGUUCAUAUAAAGUCUACUUGUAGUUCCUUCCUAUAUCUUUCUACUUCAAACUUAAGUUCAUCAUCAUCUAUAUCUUUCAAUACUUCAACCAUUAUAGUUAAAGGAACACAAAAAUAAUCUUUCAUGAUAUCUUCAGAAAACUUGUCAAACAUUACUGGGUCCUUUAUGUUCUUGUUUGCAAGAUCUUCAUCAUCAUAUAAAUCUUCUUCAUCAUCUUUAUCAGGUUUGCAUAGAACAUCCUCAUCAUUGAAAGGCUCUUGCUUAAACUGAUAUUCAAUCACGAUGAUCAAUUUCUAUCUUUUAGGUCCUUCACAAAGAUAAGUAAUUGUUUAGAUGAAGUUUUUAGGAAUAGAUCUAAGGUAAGGUCAGCCUUAAGAUAAGUCUUUAAACAUGUACAUCUCCUCUUUGCGAUUCUUGUUUGUACCUCUCAUCAACUAAAAUAGAUAUUCUUUAUCACAUGAAUACCCUUAGUCAUACUGACCCAUGAGGAUUUGCAUGAAUUAGUUCAAUGACAGGUUGGUCGUGGGCGUCAUCCCCAGUACGUACCUCUCUUCUUCCCUAGUUCUUGUUUGUGCAUAACCCUGGUGCCUUAAGCCUGGUUUUAAGGUCAUCAAAUCUGGCAUUGAUGAUGUGCAAACCUAGUUUGCAUUUUUCCCUUUAAAGAUGUUAUCACUACUGAAUAACGAUAUAGAUGAUCCCAAACAAUCUGCAUCCCCUGAUCACCGUUACAAAGAUAAAUAUCACUAGCUACCCCACGAUUAUCUUCAUAAUUCGCCAUCGACUAGGAUGUUAACUCGCUCUAAUACCAUCUGAUGCAGUGAAGAUAAAACUAGGAUUUUCAAACCCUAAAGUUAAAGACCAAGUUGUAAAGAAAUCUAGAGAAAAUUCAUUGGUAUUUUAUUAAAUUUGAAUAAUAGCCUUCAUCUCUAUAAAAUAAAUUAGACAUUCAUAUUUAUAUUAGUACAAAAAUCCUUUUGAGAAAAAUAUUUCUAUUUAAAACUUUCCCCAUUAAUAUAAUACAUUUAAUGUUAGGAUUUAUAAAUAGUAAAUUACUAAUCAAAUUAAAAGUUCUAAACUAAUUAGAAAAUAAAUAAUUAAAAUAUAAAAUUAUCUGAAAAGAAUAAUUAAAACAGAAAAAUAAUAACUUCACAUUUCAUAUUUCAUAUGAGAUACUUACAAGGUUUUUUUGCUAACUUUUUUUCAAGUUAUACCUUGUAUAUAUGUUCCAUAAACUUUUAAAAUAAUUAUUCUACGUCAGUAUUCCUUGUGUUUUGCCCGGGAAGUGGAGUCUUCCUUUGGCACAACAACCUGCAAAACCUUUAAAAAGAAAGUCACUUUAACAUUUAAGGGUAUUGAAAGAAAAUAUUUAAUUUCCAAAAAAAACAUAGAAAGGAAAAUUCAAACAAAGCUAUAAUUAAAAAUGAAAUUUGUACAAUAACUUUUGAGGAUGUUUAAAGUUAGUUUUUUAAAAUGUUAUUUAUUUGAAAAUAUAUUAAAAUAAUAUAUUUUUUUAUUUUUUUAAAAUUAUUUUUAAUAUCAGUAUAUCAAAACAAUCCAAAAAUAUAGAAAAAUUCAAAUUUUUAUGAAACAUAAUUUCAAAUACAAUUACAAAUAACUUUUUUAUUUUAUAUUACAGUAUAACUGCAAGUUACACCAUAACAAAAAUAUGAUUUUUAUGCUUUUUAUUAUGAUGUAAUAUGUGAUGCACCACAACAAUAAAUCAUCACUUGGUUAUAAUUUAGGGUUUGUUUGAGAUUGUGGUAGUGAUAACGGUUCAAAGUGCUUUUCGCUUAAAAAUAUAUCAAAAUAAUUUUUUUUUUAUUUUUAAAAAAUUAAUUUUGAUAUCAGUACAUUAAAACAAUCUAAAAAUAUAAUUUCUUUUUUAAAUAAAUUUUAUUUUUAAAACGCAAAACACACCCUUCAAACUAUAUCUCUUCGUAUUAUGGCUUUCAAGGAGUAGUCGAGUAAAAAAUAAAAAAAUUCAUCCUAUAAAAUAGUGUCAGAAAAAAAUGUUGCACAAUUAUGAUAAAAUUAAAAACAUUUCAGCUGUAGGAACUAAAUUGAAACUAUCUACAUAAUUGGGGCACCGAAUUGUAUGUUCUCCAAGGAAAUAACUUUACACAUCACCUAAUAAAAUAAAAUUGCUGUAAAUAUUUAUUUUAUUUUAGGCAAAACAAUUAAAAAGAAAAAAAUAUAAAUAUAUAGAAACUUUGAGCCAUUUUAGCGUAUAACGACAAAAGCCAGCUCAGCAAAAAGAAGCUACAUAGAUACGUGUCAGAACUAACCGAAUCCCCUUUAACGUUACUCCAAUGUAAUGGAAUCAUCACCGUACAGUUCAACGGCUCUGAUAUCUCCUCACCACCCUCCACCCGCAGUAUAUAAUCCGCCACCCCACUCUCUCUCCUCUCCAGAAAAUUCCAGAAGAAGCGAAAAAUCGGAGGAGCAAAAAGCUCGAAAAAAAUAAUUUUCUAAUCUUUAAUUAGCUGCUUAAGGUUUUUUUAUUUGUAAAUCGAGUUCUUCAGAAUUUUCGUGUGGGUUUUUAUCAGCUGUUUGAUCUGAUCUGGAGAAUUGGCUGUUUCAUUUCAUGACUGGAGUUUGAUCUGGUGAGAAGAGAGAUCGAGAUCGAGAUCGAAAUGAUUUCGUUGCAGAGUGGUGGUCGCCCGGCUGCUUUUGGUUCGGCUCGCGAUGACGCCGUCGGUGGCUUCCAGCUGAAUCUGGAGCCGUCGGCUUCUUCUUCGGCUCCGUUGAGUUUGUUGCCUUUUAAAGGCCGCGAUUCUCAUCAUGAAGGUUAGUCAGUUUCCUUUUAAAGGCCGUGAUUCUCAUCAUGAUGAUUCUCUCUAUCUCUCUCUCUUUUAUUAAUUCUUAUCAUUUUUUUUUUGCAUUUAAGAAGUUUUUGAUUUAGGAUUGUAUUUUUUCAGAUCGGUUAAUUUUGAAAAUUUGGUUCUUUUGGACGCAGUUGUUGAUGAAGAAGCACACUUGGAGCAGGCGCAUAAGCUGUACAAAUCUGGGAAUUACAAACAAGCGUUAGAGCAUAGCAGUGCUGUUUACGAGAGAAGUCCACAGCGGACUGAUAAUCUUCUUCUUUUGGGUGCUAUUUAUUAUCAG